GCAUUGUGCCUCACUCAUGAUCUUGGACCUAAAAGUAAAUGUAUCCCCUGAAUCAAAAUUAAUGACAGGAUGAGAUUAUUUGAAUUGAUAAAUUUACUCAUUAAAUUUAUUUUUUUAAUAAACCCACUAUUGCAAUUAAAGUAUGAGAAAUGAUAUAGCCACAAACUCUUGUACAAACUUAUUUUGUACAAACUGAUGUGGCAUGAUAAGAUUGGUUGAAUUAAAUAUCACUUGGCCCAUAUGAUUUGUUCUUAUUAUUUUAUAUUUUUAUUCAACCAAUGAAUUAAUGUCACGUCAGUUUGUACAAAAUAAAUUUGUACAAGAUUUUGUGGAUGUAUCAUUACUCUUAAAGUAUUAGAUUUUUGAGUAAUGAUAUAGCCACAAACUCUUGUACAAACUUAUUUUGUACAAACUGACGUGGCAUGAUAAGAUUGAUUGAAUUAAAUAUCACUUGGCCCACAUGAUUUUUUUUUUAUUUUAUAUUUUCAUUCAACCAAUGAAUUAAUGCCACGUCAGUUUGUACAAAAUAAGUUUGUACAAAAGUUUGUGGUUGUAUCAUUACUCUAGAUUUUUACUCUAUAUACCCUAUAAAAAUUUCAAAAAUAAUCUCAAUUAAAAUAUUUUUCUUUAUUCGUUAAAAAAAAAAAGUAAUCCUUUCUCUCACUUCAUACAUAUCCCAAUUUGUUUUGAAAAGAAUUAAAAGAGUAAUAUUAAAGCCUAAUUGGGGGUCUGCCUCUUGCUGUUUUGCUUCAAACUUCUAUAGCUUUAUAGAAAGUUUUUAAAUAUAAAAAUAAUGUCGAUAGUAAUAUUUCACCGGAAUGUAUUGUAUUGGAUUUUGUUUUGAUUCCAUUGAAUAAUAGUGUUCUAGUUAGUAAUUAACCGGCAUAUAUACGAGAACCCAACUGAUGCAAUAUUUCUUCUUUGUCCUAUUUUUUGAUUACCGAGAUUUGAAGUUUACGUAAAGAAGAAGAAAAGCAAAGAGAGCAACAUCAGUAAAUCGAAAACUAAUUACUUUUCUUUGUUUUGGGAUCUGAAAAAAUUCGUCUCUGUAAGCUUUGCCACAUUUGUUUUUCCCAUUUGUAGUCUUAGAGUUUUUUUGUUUGGACAUUUAAAUGUUGACAAUUGGAAAAUUGUAAGAUCGUAAAAGAGAAGAGAUUAAGUGAUAUAUAUAUAUAUGUAGGAAACAAACAGUUUAUAUGUUUUAUCAUAAAAAUGGGUGCAAAAUUAUAAUUUUUAUUUGUUUAUAUAAAUUUUCUUGUCCUUGAAUGCAAUUUUAUUUAAAGAUAAAUGAGUAAUUAAAAAAUUUAUUCACUGGUAGGUUUAGAGAGUAAAAUUAUGAGUUCAAAUAAUCUUACCCUUAAUAACAUCUUGCUUCCAUUGCAAGAGUUAAACCGAUUGAGUUAUCCUUUAAUGAUAAAAAAUUUUCAAAAAUUUAGAUUACUUUAGCCGAGCAAAAUCGUCUGUAUUUUAAUUGCACGGGCAAGCCAAACACUUGUGCUAAUCAAAAUGGGCAAAAUCCGAUUAAUUUCAUCGCAUAAAAAUAAAAAGAAAGAAAGAACAACAUUUUUGCCCCAUCUUUCUUUUAACAUACUUCCAUAAACUACAAGAGGGGUGAAGGUUUGGAGGAGAUUAAUUUUUUUUAUAUUUUAUUCAAUCAUUGAAUUUUAUUUUUUCUAUGAAAUUACAUUGAUUUUAUCAUAUGUUUUUUUUUAAUUCAAUCAUUAAAUUCUGUUUUUCUAUGAAAUUAAAUCAGUGUGAUUAGAUUUUGAUACCAAUAUGGCAUAUUUCUCCAUGACAAUUAAGAGUUUUGACUUUGCAAUUACAUAUAACAAACAAUCUACUUGUUCUCUUUUUUUUGUUCCUGAUGUUGUCACUAGAUUAAUUUGACAACAUUGUCACUUGUGCUCUUCAAUCUACUUGUGCAGAAGCAGCAGAAGCAGAGGACUGAGCUUGCACCAAUUGUCACUCCCAUAUCUGUCAAGGGGGGAUACCGUGGAAUAAAGCCAAUUGUCACAUCUUCCACGAUUUUCUCUGGAGACAAUUCAGCUUCCUUGAACCCCAUGCAGGGUUCAAGGACCUUGUCUUUUGACAAUAAAACAUCUUCCCUUGAUGAUGAUUCGAAAGGUCCUCCCGGCCAAUCGAACUGCGAAAGUGCGAAGUCUCCUGUUGAUCAUAUUGCAAAUCCGUAUGCUUGCUGUGACUUCGGUGUCUUUCUGCAGACACGACUUCGUUUAGGUUCUCUCGACCUUGUCAGAAACCAAAUUAAACCCCAACGGCCAUCUAUUAGGGGCAAAUAAGGGUUUAGUGUUAUGCUGGUUUUAACCUAGAAUUGUACCCUUCUUAGGCUUAGGUAGGACUUCUAAUUAGUAGGAGCAUUCCGAGUCUGGUUGUUGUCAUCGUGUAUUUCCUAAUGUUGUCUUAUUGGUGUAGCAUUUCAAAUGCAUGUAAUUGGUGUGUCAUUCGGCUGAUUUGAUAGUUUGUAUUCAAAUAUUCAGUUUUAAGUGGAUGUUUUGGUACUCCUGCAUCUGAAAAAUUGAUUUCAUCUGGAUGUUUUAUUCAUGAAUGAUUUUGAGUCUUGAAGCAUUGCACUGUUUUCAAGCAUCAUGAAAAAUUGCAGCACUCUUUCCCCAGAAUGACCAAUCAAUCCAGAUCGUUUUCAGAAUUAACCAUUUUGAGAAAUUCAUAAGAACUGGAUUACCAUUUUUCACAUUUUCACUUGCAACUAUAAUAUUUUAGUAUCAAAACCAGGGGUGAUAUAAAUAAUAUUGACAAUUGCCAGAGGAUAGAGGGUGAUAAUAGAUGGAUCAUUGCAACUUGCUUUACUUAAAAGUCGAUUGAAAAGGAAAACAGAGCUUAAGAAUUGAAAAGUAUAUCCAUCAGCAUGUAGAACAGAAGAACCAUAUCCAUUGGUUGGAAAUAAAGAAAACCAAAGCAGAGAAUAAAAGCAUAUACUGCUACUUCCAAGCAUAAAAAGAUACUGCUACUGCUAGAGCAGCAUUGCAUGGCUGAAUAUAACAGGGGAUAAUUGCUAGCUCCACCUAACAAUAAUUCUGAAAUAAAAUGCACGAAUAACCAGCAAGAACAAUCAAAUGCCAAGUUUAGACUGGCAGAAUUGUGACUGGAAGACUGGCAGAAUUGUGACUGACUAAGAUUAAUCAAACAGAAUAACAUUAAGCAACUAGCAAUUUUCCUUUAAGGACAAACACUGCAAGUAUCUAGCGCAUAAAAGAUUACAUAGACCAAAAGAACCAAAAUUUCCCAACAGGCUACAACAAGCAGAACCCGUAUUACCUCUUCCUUCUCUUAUUUCCAGCACCAUCACCUUUACUGAAGCCUCUCAAAUCAUCAGUGGUAUCAGAUGUGUUUUGUUUCUUCAUACUUUUCUUCCCCCCAAAGCCAAACUUGGAAUUUCUAAAAUCUCUAUUCUUCUUCUUUUUUCCCUUUCCACCAUCACCACCACCACUUUUUCUUGCCUUCCCACCAGACCGAUCUCCUGGCGACACCCCUGGUCUCUUCUUAUUUGACCUCUCAAAUGACUUCCCACCUUCAAAGGCCAAAUCCAAUUCACCCUUGUCGACUUCCACGGCAAACCCACUUUGUUGCCUCUGCUUCCUCCACUUCUUAACAGAUUCUAUUUCCUCUUUUUUCUGCUUCGCUCUCUCCUUUGUCUUUUGGACCUGAAUCUCUUUAGCUAGUUUCUUAGCCUCUCUAGCCUUCUUUCUCUCCGCAGCCUCCUCAAUCUCUUUCUGCUCAGACAAAAGUCGGCGCUUCACCUUUUCCAUGUGAGCAUCCGACUUAACCAUCUCUGCAUAAUAAUCAGCCGGUCUAAGAAAAGGCAGCCCCAUCGAUUGAAGCUUCUCAAAGGCCCACCUUGUCCCCUCUAAUGCCUGUGUAUAGAAAGAAGCCUCCCUUUUCAGAUCAUCAUUCACAUCCACCUCUUGCUCUUGAUCAAUAUCAAUGGUAAGCUUAUGUAUCCACCCAGCAUUUUCCGGCCAACUAAUAUCUUGAAGCUUCUCCUCAAGACCAUCUCUGUUGUACACAGCCUGCUUUGAAGGCUCGGCCAAUUUCACAUCCUCCUCUCCUUCCGAAUCUGAUUCAGAUUCAGUAACUUCCUCAUUGAGCUCACUCACAUCUUCAUCUUCAAAUCCAUCCUCAUCAGAAACCUGUCAAAAAGAAAAAUUGAAAAGAAACAACAUCAACAUCCAGACUCUCACGAGCUCAAGAUAAUUCAACCCCAGCAUUACUUCCUUAGGGAAAUUUCCAAGAAAAAAAAUACAUCCAUUUAUUAGUAUACAAUCGAUUAAACUCCUAGGAUCAACAACUAAGCUAAAUAGAUAGCAUCAUGCACUCACAAAUGAGUUAAAUUUGUAAUCCCAGAGAGAGAACCGAUUACAGGGAAGCCUACGGAGCGGUUAAAAUAUAGGAGAUGGGUAGGGGUCAGGGACGGGAAGACUUGCUUUUGUUGUUCCUAUUCCUUAUCAUAUUACCUAUUAUAUUAUCUUUUUUAGGAGGGUCGAUUGAGAAUACUCCUGCUCAUCUUCCAGCUCCUUUAAUAUUGAAACAUAAUUAUCAAGAAAAUCUCAAGAUGUUCGUUAACUGUUCCUUAAGGUCUAGACUAAAUAAUGAAUUGAAAAUAAUAUAAAAUAAAUUAAGCAGAAAUUGCGAGAAAAAAAAAAAAAAAAAAAACCUUUUUGAUGCAGCUUCUGAAGACUGCAACCCUCUGUAAAACCCCAGCGAGCUUUGCAAGAUGUAUCAAGAUGGUUCUUCGGUGAGUAAAAUCUAGACAAUCGGCGGCCGGGUGCGGGUAAGACCCGGUGAGAAUAGGGGAAUAAGGCUUAGUCCAUGGUCCAAGUAGAGCACUAAGCCCAAACUACAUGGAAGCCCAACUCAAUUUCAAGUUUUUUAACAUAUUUUCAAGGAAUUAUUGUUAUAAUUCAAGUUGCUUGUGAUUUUAGUUUUUUAAAAAAAAAAUUCAAGUACUAAAUGUAUCCCCUGAAUCAAAAUUAAUGAUAGGAUGAGAUUAUUUAAACUCAAUUUUUUUUACUUAUUAAACCUAUUUUUUAAAUAAACCCACUAGAUUUUUACUCUGUACACCCUAUAAAAUCUAAAAAAUAAUCUCAACUAAAAUAUUUUUCUUUAUUCGCAAAAAAAAAAAAAAAUGGUACUACUUUCUCUCACUUUAUACAUAUUUGAAAAGAAUUAAAAGAGUAAUAUUAAAGCCUAAAUUGGGAUCUGUCUUGCUGUUUUGCUUCAAAAUUCUAUAGCUUUAUAGAAAGUUAUUAAAUAUAAAAAUAAUGUCGAUAGUAAUAUUUCACCUGAAUGUAUUGUAUUGGAUUUUCAAUUUUGUUUUGAUUCCAUUGAAUAAUAGGGUUCUAAUUAACGGGCAUACGAGAACCCAACUGAUGUAAUAUUUCUUCUUUGCCCUAUUUUUUUAUUACCGAGAUUUGAAGUUUCUGUAAAGAAGAAGAGAAGCAAAGAGAGCAACAUCGGUAAAGCAAAAAGGUCCAAUUACUUUUCUUUGUUUUGGGAUCUGAAAAAAUUCGUCACUGUAAGCUUUGCUACAUUUUUUUUUUUUUUCAUUUUCAGUCUUAAUAGUUUUUUUGUUGGGACAUUUAAAUGUUGACAAUUGGAAAAUUGUAGGAUCGUAAAAGAGAAGAGAUCAAGUGAUAAAUAUAUAUGUAGGAAACAAGCAGUUUAUAUGUUUUAUUAUAAUGCAAAAUUAUAGUUUUUAUUUGUUUGUAUAAAUUCUCUUGUCCUUGGAUGUAAUUUUAUUUAAGGAUAAAUUAGUAAAUUAAAAAUUUUGUUCACCGAUGGAUUUAGAGAAUAAAUUUGUGGGUUCAAAUAAUCUUACCCCUAAUAAUUUUAUCUUUAAAAUAAAAAAUAAAAAAACAACAACAACAUUUUUGCCCCAUCUUUCUUUUACCAUACUUCCAUAAACAACAAGAAGGGUGGAGGUUUGGAGGAGAUUUAAUUUUCUUAUAUUUUAUUCAAUCAUUAAAUUUUAUUUUUCUAGAAAAUUACAUUAAUUUUCUCUUUUUUUUUUAAUUCAAUCAUUAAAUUCUGUUUUUCUAUGAAAUUAAAUCAGUGUGAUUAGAUUUUGAUACCAAUACGUCAUAUUUCUCCAUGACAAUUAUAGUUUGACUUUGCAAUAUAUACAUAACAACAAACAAUCUACUUGUGCUCUUGAAAAAGUAUUUAGUCAAUCUUAAACUAGCAUGAUCUGCACCUUGAAAAUACAAAUUUCUUUGAUUUAUUAGUUGAUUCAUACAAUUUAAUUAACAUGGUACGUACAUAUACCACUGUAACAUUUGAUGCCUGAGAACCAUUUACUUUUAAGUAUUGAUUUUAUAUUGAAAAUUCAUUUUCGUACGAACUAUUGAGAUUAGAUUCUGCCCUCCAGUUUAUCAGCCCUGAUGAGAGGAUUAUCCUUGACCAACAUUUCACGAUCGAACUUCUUGAAAUCAAACGUGCAUGCGUGCUCUUUAGGGUACCUGUGCGUCCCGCAAUACAAGUGCCCACAGCGGCAUUUAAACUCUAUCAAUCCAACUUUCUUGUUGCAGAUUUCACAUCUUCUUUUGACACUCGAACCUGCUGCACCAGACUCAAUAGUACGAGAAUCAACAGCAUUGCUAUUGUUAGUUGUCUUGGCGGCUGAAAUAAUCCACUGCGGCGGCCAAGAUUUGUCGAGAACUGAAGGGUUUGGUGCAUUUGUUGGGCCGAUAGGUUUUUUCGCCGCGUCCAAUAACUUGGAUGACUUCGCAAUGAGUUCUGCUUUCAAAUAGUCAUCGUAGCACUUUGAGCACAUGUUUUUGUUUUCUUUAGAGCCAUAAAACCCACAGCCCUUUAUGCACAUAGUUACGUUGUUACGAUCCAUCGAUCUUUCUUCUUCUGCUUCGUGAAUUAAAGAGAGCAAAACUAAGGAGUUUUUUUCUGUGUUUCUGUAGAUGAUUUUGAUAGGCGAAUAUCGUAUGUUUACAGGUAAUAUAUAGAGAACCCCUUUUUUACCUUAUCUGCAUUGGAUUUCAAGUCCAAGUAGGAUUAAGACGUAACGUGUCCUAAACGAAGUGGGAAAUAUCAGAUUUUAAAACUCCAGUUAAGUUUAGGAAAAGAGCUUCUAAAACUAAAGACUCUGACAUCCUAAAUCAUUUAGGAAAUUGAAAUUUCAUCAACAUAAAUGAGAGAAAUCAAUUAUGACGUUUGAGAAUUGACCACGUUCUAUUUUGACACUUGUAAAGAUGUGGGACAACCGACCUUUGCCUUAUAUCCGGCUAAUGCACAAGAAAAGGCUUCACCAAACCCGCUCAACAAUCGCGCCCUUAAAGUGUUAACCUCUCUGUUUCUAUAAUAGACAUUGAGAGGAGGAGAGCAGGUAGGCCUAAUUUUCUCAGACACAAAAAUGGUAGUCGUUAGCAAACUCCUCUAACCCACUUUCUUAACCUAUUAUAUAAAUGAAAGAGCAGUAAUAGAACAAUGCACAAGGAAUUAUAGCUUUAAUUCCAGAAUGGCUGAGACGGACACGGAACUUCCAAAAAGAAAGAAUGUCAGGCAACCGCCUGCAGUCCCUUUUCUUUGGGAGCAGAAGCCAGGAAUACCUAAAAAGGACUGGAAACCAAAGGAUUCUUCAGUUAGUCCAAUUGUAGUAACUCCUCCAGUCAAGCUCAUUGCCUCCAUACCUUUUGAUUGGGAGGAAAAGCCUGGAACACCAUUACCCAGUUUCUCACAGCCAGCAGUACUUCCAAACCCACCAGAAAAGCUCUUAGCUUUACCACCGCCGCCUCCAAUGUACUCCCAAGGCUAUUAUGGCAUUUUCAACAAUGAUGAGGCCAGUGAUGAUGAUCAUGACAAGCAAAAUGAUUCGUUUGAUUUCGAUACAGAUGAUUCAUUCAGCUCCGCUCCCUCUCUCCUUGCAAACUGCCUUGUACCAUCGGUAGCUAUUUCCUCUGCUGUUCCAGUGCAGAGAUCUCUCUCGAGUGACACCACAACUGAUGAACUGGAGAUCCCUUCAUCACCAGCUUCGGAAGCAGAAAGUAGUACAAGCAGCUAUGAAACUGGCACUUCAAGCCUUGUGGGGGCUUCUUUCUUGGAAUGCCUCUUUCCACUACUCCCACCCAAAACCAGUUUCCUUGAAAAGGCGAGGUACACUGAGAGCGACUCUGUUAUUGUUACUCCAGAAGUUAAAAGAAAGGAUUUUGACUGUGAAAGUAAUAGUACUGUCGUUAUUAGGAGGCCAACAACACUUGGAGAACUGAUAAUGAUGAGUCGCAGGAGGAGUUACCAAAGAAAAGCCGUUCAAAUGAGAAAACAGAACCUGUCAAUGGUAAAUCCCCAACUCUUGCCUCUUUUUUACCAUCACUAGGACUGCAUUUCCUCUUAGGCUACAGGAGAACUGGGAAGUAUGUAGAAGAAAAAGCUAUUCAACGAAGAAAUGAGAGCGAAAAUAACAUAUUUAUUUCCUUUUGACACGAUCAUGGAAACAAAAUUCAUAUUUCUAACCAUAUUUUGCACAAUAAAACUCACAAACAACUUUAUUCUUGCCUGAAUGCAACUAUAACAGGAAUUUGAGAAGAGGCCUUUUGGAUGCUGUGCCUUUGGGAGUAGCAUCAAAAUGUUUGAAGGAUUGCAAAGGAAGAAACAACAGCUGAUACUGAAAUUUUUACAGGAGUAAAAGCCCAAUCGCCCAUGUGGUUCAAAAUCACCCAGCAAUCCAUGCCUGCCAUUAAACUCUUCCAAAUCAUUCUAGUUUUCUAUUUCCAGCAUUGAUGUACAUGAUUUAACAAAUCCCAUAAUGUAAGCUCAAUGCUAAAUCCUUCGAGUUCCAAGAGAACUGAACUAGACCUUUGUUCAAUUAAGAAGCAGUGCAUGUCCCCAUAAUUUUCCCAAAACAUUAAUGAUGGCAAUAAUCUUACAUAUGAAAUUCCUCUCAGCAUUUAUUUACAAGUUUCAGCAACUUUUUGGAUCCUUUCAAUGACUAAAGGGAUAUCCUCGUGGGUUAAAGAAGUAAAACAACACCGGAACCAUCCCGGUUCUAUACAGUGGCAGGCCGAGCCAGGAGUAACAUUGAUCUUAGCAAUGUUCAAGAGCUUAUCCCAUAAUUCAAGUUCCCCUUUCUCACUGUAAGAGGGGAUUAGUCCACUCAUAUCAGCCCAGCAAUAUAAGCCAGCACUGCUCUCUGAGCACCUGAUUCCUAAUUGUUUCAAACCUGCCACAAAUGAAUCAUACAGUUUCUUUAUCCUCCUUUUAUUGGUCUCUAAAUAUUCCUGGAUGAACUUUGUAUCUGAGAGCAUGGAAAUUAGGAGCCUCUGAGUGGGGGCUGAAAUAGAACAAAAUCUUGUUAAUUUUUUGGCAGCGGCCAAAACACUCUCAUUAUAGGAAUAGAUAACCCCGGUCCUAAAUCCCGGAAGAGAGAGGUCUUUCGACAACCCGUAUAUUAUAUGAACUCUAUCCUUGUCAACUUCUUCUGCCUCGAGAAUUUCCGCCAUGCUCACAAACUCUUCAUUUCCAAAGAUGGACCCCCCAUAUAUUUCAUCAGAAAUUACAUGGAUGUUCUUCUCUCUCGCAAAGUCCAAAAGCUCAUAGAGUGUUUCCCGUGGAAUUAUAUUGCCAACAGGAUUCGCUGGGUUGCAGAUGAGAAUUCCACGAACUUUCACCCCACGUUUUCUUGCCUGAUUGAACGCUUGAUCAAGGGCAGUUAUACUAAAAGCGAAGUUAUCAGUGCUGCGACAGUGUACAGGAAUUAGCUCCACUCCCGUUCGAAAUCUGAUAUCCCUAUCAAAACUGGAAAUUGUUUGUUAUUAACUUUUGAUACCCAAACAAAAUGAAUUUCAUCAGUUCAAAGGUUUGAAAUGAUUGAUAAUUACCCAGGAUAAUAAGGCGAGGGAACAAGCAAUGCAUUCCCAUGAUCUGCCAAGCAGAAGCAUAGUAUCUCAACCGCAGGAGUUGCACCAGCAGUUAAUACUAUUUGAGAGGGGUCAAAUGAGACAGCUUGCCCCAAGACCUGAGACAUGAAACCUGCCAUAGCCUGCAGCAGUGCAGCACAAAUAUAUAUUAAUCUUAUCAUGCCACAUCAGUUUGUACAAAAUAAAUUUGUACAAGAGUUUGUGGCUGUAUCAUUACUCAUAUUUAAGAAAGCACAGACAAAAUGUAAUCAUUUUAGACAAUCGGCUGUUUUUGCACAAAUAAUUGAAUGCAACAGUCAUAAUAGCACAGGACAUAUGACAUCCUUCAGAAUCAGAAGCAGUUAAAGCAAUUUGAUUUCAAUGGACUCCAAUGACACAAAAACCAAGAUCAGUAAUUCAAAAUAGCAAAAAGUUACUAUAUUGAUAAAACUUUUUGAAGUAUAAUCUCAACAUUUUGCAUUUUUUGUAUGCUAAAGGCUCAAAAAUGAGUUCAUUAUCCCAUUUACUAUAAAGUCUUGCAUGCAUGGUUGUUGUCUUCUACUCUACUUCCAACAAUGCGGCAAGGCUAAUGCGGAGGUUCAUGGGGAAGCAUUACACAGUUUAGUAAGCAAACUCUAAAAUUUUAAUGGUCGUUAUUCACGUAAACUAAGCUGCCUUUAACUCAAUAAACUCAACACUUUGUAAAGGCAGUACACUAGAUUCUCAAUUUACAAUCACAAGUGCAUCGCAAAGUAAACGGCACUUACUAGUUACUAAUUAUGUAAAAUAAAAUAGAGAGAUAUAAUAAAAUUACCACUUUAAGCUCCAUCAUUCCAUCAAACGGCUGGUAGGUCGUAAUCCCACUGAUACUCAAAUCAUCACCGUCCCGUCCCAUUAUAGAAUCACUCAAGUUCUCCGACACCCAUUUCUCAAUCAAAUCCAAACACAACUAAAACCAACAAAACAAAAUUAAAUAAAUAAACGAUUUACACGACAAAUGCAAAUAAAUAAAUACAAAAAUGAAAACGAAUAGCUUAAGUUUAAAUUAACUGUGUUCUCGGCCAAUCCAAGCUGAAUAAUCCCAUUCGGAUUAUUGAUUUUAUCAUAGGGAUCGUCCCGAAACUUAUUCCACCCGAUAUAAUACGGAGAAUCGUCCGGCUUCGCAAUCGAGCUCCCCCGGGCCGAUAUCCGAACCGGACCGAGCGAUCCACGCGACGACAAAGUAGACCGCGAGGAAGUUCUAGGGAGUCCAGCGAGGUUGGAGGAUGAGGCGGAGGGGGAGGGAGGGUUUGGGGAACGGUGGCGUUUCAAGUAAAACUGGAGGAAGUAGAAGAGCGCGCAGGGGAUUAGAGAGCCCAAGAUAAGGCCGCCCCUGCCUUGGACUACGCCUUGUAAGGGCACAAUCAGUCUCAUGGCUGUGGCAGAUCAGUCUCAUGGCUGUGGCGGUGGUCGGCUUGCGGUGCUCGGGUUCCGUGGUCCGAUGGGAUUGGGUCAUGUGUUGGGUUGGUCGGGCCCGAUUGAACUUCACGCACCUCGGGUGAUCCGCCCUCCGUGUAGAGAGAAGAAUGACAUGAAUGAGAUAGGGUGGCUGUUGGUGAUUCGGACUUUUUGGUCUGGUGGUUUGGUGAGAGACAGUGGUUUAAAAAACUAAUAAUAAAAUAUUUUAUUUGGAAGAGACUUAAGAGUGUGUUUAGUUAGAACCGUUCGCGUCGCUAGAAGAAAUGGGAAGAUUAGAUAGGGGUGGGGCUCUGCAGCUGAGUUUACUACAUUUGUCCUCAUUAGUGAUUGGGUCCAUGAUAUCAACGCCUAUGAAGCAAAGACACAAAAAGUUACAUAGCUUACAGAUUCUGUAACAUACGCACCCAAUGCAUGCACCACACCUGUCCUGCGUAUGGAGAAAAAGCAUGCAAUUGUUUUUGUUUGGUAGCUAGCUAACCAAUCAGGAGCUGGCUAAGUUGGAUCUGUAUGUUACAGAAUCUGUAACUUAGCCAGCUCCUGUGUUAUAAGACCCGUUUGGAGCAGCCUCGCGGUGAGGUCAAUUCUUGGAGAACAGCUACCCUAAACGGGUCUAUAAUUAAUAAUUAUCAUCUUUUUUUUUUCCAAAUCGGAAAACCAAAGUUCUUUUUUAAAUUUCAAACUAUCCUCAUUAAAGUUUGUAUAGUUUGUUGAUAAGGGAAUUGUUCAGUUGGUUUUACCCUGUACAUUCACUAUGCGGUAUCAAAAUAGGUUAGAAUUUGAAUGGACAUGAAUCAGAAUAGGUUGUAAUGGAGAUGGAGAAUGGGAAUCGGAAUCAAAACAGACAUUAUUCUCAUUGAUAAGUUUACUCUGUUUUGAAAUUGGAAUCGGAAUCAAAAUAAGUUAUAUUGUUUCAAAUUAUUAAAAAGUUCUAAUUUAACUAUUAUCAUAAUUAUUAUUUUGUAUUUUAAUAAUUAUAAUAUUAUUAUUAAUUAUUGUUAAUAAUCAUAUUAUUAUUAACACUAAUAUAUUAAUUAAUUAUAAUAUUUUUUUAUCAUUAUCGUCAUCAUCAAUCAUACUAAUAAUCCAUUUCAAACAUUAUAAUAAUAGUAUUAAAAAAAAUCAUGAUGGUCAUCAAUGAAAUACUCUAUUUCCAAUAAUAAUAACAACAAUAAUAAUAAUAAUAAUCAAAAUCGGAAUCAUCAUCAUCAACAACAACAACAACAAUGGCAACAACAAAUCAUUAUUGUCUGCGUCGUCAUCAUCAUUAGAUCGGAAUUAUGUCUAUUGGAGACGAAAUUAGAGACUAAACCAAGACGAAAUCAAGAUGCCCCAAGGGAGGCAAAACUAGCAACCAAUUGCCGCUCCACGGCUGUAGACCUGCAAUGACGAAGAUGAUGGUUGAUUUGGUAGUGAUGACGGUGAUAAAGAUAGUGAGGUUUGGCUGCGAUGGUACAGCUAGCCAGCUAAAUGGAGUUCAAUGCGAGGAGUUUUAUCUUAGGGAUUUGCUGCCUUUUCUUUUUUAUUUUUGCUAUUAAUAUUUUUCAACUAAAAUGAGAGCAUUUUCAAAAUAUUACAAUUUUAAGGGGGGAAAAUGGUUAGUACUAGGAAUCAGUCUCACGUUCGCAAAUUAGGGUGGUUCCCACGAUUUUGAUUAUGAUUCUCGCCUUUAUUUUGUGAAGAAAAAAUUGUUAAUAAUUCUGAUUCCCCAACCCAAAAUGUAAAUGCACCGUAUUGUUUUGGAUAUUUUCCUAUAGCAAAACAACUACGUCCUUAAUAUCAUAGUUAGAAUAAAUUAUGUAGAGAUGAACAAUAAUUAAAAAAAAAAAAGAGUAUAAAGCCAUUUGAUAUUUUCUAUUAAGCUCUCAAUUUAUGUUUCCAUAAAAUAUUAAGCUCACAUUAGAUGACUUAAAUAUUAAACGCAUAUUAGAUGAUAUUAUUGCCUGGCUGCCUAUAGUAGACAGCCCAUCCUCUAGCGCGUAAGAUUAUAAACUUUGGAACAAUGAAAGUUACCUAAAAUUAUAAAUUGCUCCCAAUUUAAUCAUUUCUGUAAGAUUGUCAAUAAUAUAAUGCGCAUACGCGAAUUCAAUUGUCGUUCAGGACGACAAGCAGUGAGUCAAGUUGUGAAAUCGCUUUCAUUCGCAUCAUCCGUUGACUGACUCGUCACUUUCUUUAUCUGGAAUAAUUAUGUUACAAAGUUCCAACCCUAGCCUCUUAAUUUAACAUUUUCUUUAGAAAAGGUAGACAAAGAAAGAAAGUAGAAAGUGGAGUCAUACUAAGUUUAAUCAUAGACAUUAGUUAUCGCUAUUUUUUUGCCAAAAAAAGAACAAUGAUGAUUCUAUGAUUGGUAAAAUAUUAUGAGAAAGAAGUGGGUAAUAAUGGCACUUUUUUUUUUUUUUUCUUUAUGGUCCCAAAGAAAGAGACUAUAAAUUUUGUUGAUCCACUAUUUCUUUAAUGUUAUAAAUAAUCCCCCAAGUUAUAACUAGGGUUUGACUUAAAUCGAGAUCCAUUCCAUUUUAUUAAAAAAAAAAAAAAGAGUUAAGAUUUAUUAAGUGCUCGCUCACUAAAAGAAUUUUUCCAUCUGAGAAGUAGUAGUGGUUUUCACGACACAAAAUCACAAAUUGCAGUGAGCAGUCAGCUGUCAUCACUCCACCACCUUGGCGCUUGAUUUUUGAAUUCGCAACGCAUGCACAAUACUACAAGAGGAGCGUGCUUGCAAAAGGACAAUAAUGUCCUUGGCCACCAAAGCAUGCAUGCAUUCGCUGAGGAUACCACCGUAAAUUCCUGCCUGCCGAUUCUCGGACUUCUUAUGCAGGAUUUUGUUUGCCCGCUGACAAAAGUAACCCUCUGCGCGUUUUUUUCGCAGUGCCGGACCAGUUUCUAGAGAAAAAGACAAAUCAAUACUACCAAGUGUGUGAGCCCGUAAUUGCAACUCAAAGCGACUCUUUUGUCUAUUUUCUUAUUAGGUUUAAAUUUCGAAAAUAUGUGUAUCGUGUAGUUUUGGCAUAUAGCCUCUGCUGUCAUCCAUGACCGUGAGGACCCUUUGGAUCAAAACUUGGCUGUAAAUCGUACGGAUUUUAUUUGGAUUAGACUUUAGGGGGCCUAGCCUAGCUUAUAUCUCAUCGAAAUAACCACAAAAUAUUGUUUGAUUCUCAGCCUGUGAUUCCAUAAUUCAAACGUAACUUUUCUUCAAAAAUUAAAAAAAUCUGAAAAUUUGUUGCUUUCCAUAAUUUUAUUAUAAUUUAAAAGAAGUUGUUAGAGUUAUUAUAGAAAAUUUCCACUUGUUCUACACUUAAAUAUCUAGAAAAAAAAUCAAUCCAAAAAUAGAUAAGGAGAGAAAUAGUUUUUACGAUAGAGACAGAUUAUUGAUCAAUGAACAAAUUGUAUUGUUGUGUUCUUAAACUAGCAUACUUUUUUUUUUUUGAAAUAUUGAUAUAUUACAAUUAUAAUUUUAUUAAUAAUCAGGUAAUAAUUGAGAUUUUAUUUCAUGAUUUUAAUAUGGUAUAGCCCGAUCACUUAAUAUUAGAGGAAAAUUUAUUUUACUCCCAAGGCGGAGGGGUCAAAUAAAUUUCUAUAAAAAAAAAAAAGUAUUGUUGGGACUCGAAUUUAUGUGUUCAAAGUUAUUGGACGCACGAGUCUAUUAGGUAAUAACAGACUUAUUUUAACACUUUAUUAUAAAUUCGACUUACAAAUUCAUUCAAACAAACUAGCGUGGCACACUAUGUGUUAGAAGGAUUAAAAUUUUUGUUCUACCAAAUAGCAAUAAAACAACAUUUAUUUUAAAUUAUUAAAAAAAAUUAUCCGCCGGUAAUUUAAAAUAGUAUCAGUUGUGGGACCCACCAGUUGAAACGAAAAAACAUUGGGUUGCUCUCCUCAAAACUAUAUAAAGGACAUCUUCAACGCUCUGCCUGCGUUCGUUUUCAUUCUCUCCUUUCUUUUUCAUUUCUUGCCACGAAAAUCUCGCCGUUCUCUUCGAUAAUUUAAAAACAACUCUUCUGUCUCUCAUUUUCUGACUCUUUUGUCCCCAGCAAUUAGCGUUCCAAAAUCCAACUAAUUAAUUAAACAAAUCUGUUGCAACCUUCGAAUAGAAAAGAGAGAAAAAAAAAAAAACAGUAAUGGAAUUUUGAAGCGCAUGCUUGCAACUUUCUCUCUCAUUUUUACGAUAAAAUCUUCAAGCGAGAGAAAGUGCACGAUACAAGGAAAAAAAAAUGGUUUUGUGUUAUGUUAGACACGUGGCGGUUUAGUAAUGGAUGAAGAAAUGGAGGAGCUCGUGUUGACGGCGGAGCCGAUCGUGGCGGAAGAAUUUGAAGUUGAUUUUGAUUACGAGUUUGACGCACCUCAAUAUCACGAUUUUACCCUUCCGGAAACGCCGGCUAAGGCUAGAGAAAACGAGCUCUGGUUUGAUUCCGCUGCAAGCUAUCCACCUUCGCGUAAGCAAAACACAGCAAAAGCAUUCGAAAUUUAUCGUUUCAUUUUUGCUGAUUCGUUUGUUAUUUAGAUUAUUUCAUUUUCUGAAUGGCGUUUAUUUCAGCCUUUAUUUUGAAGUUCAACUGGAGAUAUGAUUUCCCUGCGGAUACUGCAAGCGUUUCUUGCGAUUCCAGAGGAGGAAGCAUGAGUUCUAUUGGUAAUGUCUCAUAUUUUGAGACCGAUUCCGAAGCUUUCGACAUUUAUCAAAUUAAUAGAGGUAUUUUUUAUUUUAUUUUUUUAAUCAAUGAGGUACAUUUACAAAGAUGACGCUUUUUUAUUGCUUAUUUUUAUAAUGUAAAAGGAUAUGGUUGUGCAAUUAUGAUAUUUAAAAUUUCUAUGUGGCAGCAUGUGACUGAUAAUAGUUUAUUAAGGAUUGUCCCAUCGUUUUUUUUUUUAAAGCAAAUUAUUUAACAGCCUUAUUCACAUGUAUAUAUGCAUCUUCUAAACCUGAGUCACAAUAAACAAAAUGAUCUGAUUUUUACCUAAUAUAAGCGAUAGCCAGUGUUGUAGACUUCGUAGUGUUCGUCAAUAUCUGUUUUCUUUGUACAUUUUAUUCUAGGGCCAGAAUUUUGUGGUGACAUGGAUCAAGAUGUUUCAAAAUCCAAAACCAAGUCUUUUGCGAAGUCAUCUAUACAGAGGAGUUCGACUUUGAUGAAACCCACGGCAAGUUAUUUGGCCAAAUACAAUCAACUUCAAGAAUUUCAUUUCAACCAUUUUUUGAGGUAGUGUUGAUUAUUUUUUAAGUAGUACCUUUUGUGUGAUGACACUAGCAGAUUUCGCAUGAAGAUUAAAGAAAUAAAAAAAAUAAAAAGCAGUUAUUAUCAUUUUUUUUUUGGUACUAGUACAGAGCUGUGAAGUAUUGAUUGUUUUAAUCUUACAAAGAAAAGUUGCUAAGUUCUCUAUAUGUAUAUGCAGUAUAUUCACAUUUGACAGGUUUUAUAGUUUUGAAAGUUUUUUGGUAAUUUGAUUUCUUUAUUUAGUUUGGCUUUGUUUCCUUAUCUCUAAGGUUAUGCUGAACAUCUUUAGGUCUCAAAAGAUAGUCAAAUCUGACAAGAGUUCACUGAAUUCGUCUACAAUUGAAAACCUCGCUACCAAAAGACAGAAGCUGGAAGCUGGUUUCUUACCGAAGGUGCACUAAUUUAGGUCUUCAAUUUAUUAGUAUUCUUCGAUGGAUUAUUGACAAAAGUUUAAUAUCUUGAACAAUGAGUUUGAGCUUAUAAAAUGGUGAAUUAGACUUCCUUUGAAACUGACAGAUAAUAUGCUGAGACAUCAAGUUGACUGAAACUAUGAUUUAGGCCUGUAAUUGGUAUAUAUUGGUUCAAAUGCCUGCUUAAGAUUUCAUGAAAGAUUCAAAAGGAGAACGCUAUGCCUAGUAAGAUUUUAAGAGUUGGGAUUUCAAGAACUUUAUUUACUCUACUAUAUUUCAGCAAAUUAGAUAUAUUUAAGAAACCUAAGACCACUUCUUGUUAUGGUUUUGGUUUGGCUUUAGUAUGAUUACAUACUUGUAAUACGUUGCUGUACUCGUACCAUUCUCUAGAGAUGCUGGCUUUGUUCACUUUCUUUGUAGACUCUUGCUUUUUAAGAUCUAUAGGUUCAUGCAAGUUCUCAUAUAGAUUGCUGGUUCUUUUACUGCUGUUUUACUUGAAAACAAUAACUUUUAUGUAGUUUGUUGUCAAGUCAGACCGAAGUUUUUAAAAGUGUUUCUGCAUUUGCAAAGCAGGUUUCUCAUCUAAAGCAUCAAACUCAUUUUCUACACAAAGUUCCAGUAAAGGUAAUAUGUACUAUUUAGAAAGUGGAUGUCACAUAAAUAUCGUAGUUAGGUGCAGAAUUUUUCUUUUCGUUAAAAGUAUAAAUUUUUAAACUACUUGAUGUUGCAGGUUGGGCUCCUUGAAAUAAACUCGGUGAAUUGUAGAUCUAAAGUUACUAUUCCUAGAGAACCUAAUCUGGAAACAGCACAUAGGGCUCAAAAACAUAGGUAAUAUUCACUUCCUCUCCUUUUUAUGUUGACAUUUGUUGUCAUACAUCUGUAAGGUUACCAGGCUUUGCCUCUUGUGCAAUUGUUUAUGUCGUAUUUUCUGGAUUUCAGGGCUAAGGCUAAGGUUGAUGCAGAGUCAGAUGAACAUGCAAAAUCAAAUGCAUGCAACUUUAAAGCACGCCCAUUGAACAGAAAAGUACAUACUUUCAAUAAAUAAGAUCCAAGUUUUAUUGAAUUUCAUAGGAACCAUGAACUUCAAAAGAAAUUGCCCUUAUAUUUAAGUUAGUAUAUGUUAUCUUUUUCAAUAACUUUUUCGGGCUUGGCAGAUUCUUGAAGCUCCUUUACCACAUCCCCCCAAAAAGAGCACGCCACAGCCUACUGAGUUUCAAGUAAUUCUUAACAUGUUUGAAUCUUCUUGUUCAUCUUGUGAUAUGAGCAUUUUCUUGGACGGAUUUAGUGAGAUAAGCUUGCUGCAUAUCUUAGGUUUAACACAAAUUGCCUUCACUGCUGUGCAGGAGUUUCAACUGCGAACAUCCGAGAGGGCUAGACAACACGCAUGUAAUAAUGUAGGUUAUGAAAAGUUUACUUUACAGAUUGUCAUAUUGUUAAUAUCAUGCACAGUUUUAGUAAUAAACAUUGCAAUUUCUUACUUGUGCCCAUGCUAAUAUAAUAGUAGGAAUAGAAUGUGCCUUGAUGGUGGAAAGCUAAUGCUCUCCUCAUUGCAGGUGGCAACCAUGCAUAACCACAAUGCUAUCUCCCAAAAUGAAACUAAAGACUCCAGAAGGUAAUGAUGUCUUGAGUUUUUCUCAUACCAUCGAAGUUAAACAUUGAAAGAUUCCUUUUUACCAAUUAAUACUCUCAUGUUGCUAGAGCAUUCUGCAUUGCUCAUGGUUUUUAGCUUGAUCUUACUUGGUAUAUUGGUCUAGGACUUUUAACUUCCUUUUGCUCAUGUGAUAUGCAAUCGCACAAUUGUUUUUUAACUUCUCCAUCUUUAUCAGGACAUUAAAUUUUCAUUUUAUCUUUUUCACAAAUGCAAGGGGGGAGCCUCAACUUUCAUAUAUUUUAAGUAGUUUUCAUCAUUACCAUUUCUUGUAAUCUUUGAUAUACUGACCUAUAAUUAAUGAAUUUACAUUCUGUUGAAUAUGAUUACUUUCUAACGUGGUUAUUCUCGUUGAACAGGCCAAACUCUGUUGAUGCCCUAAAGGAGGAGAAAUGUGAAGGAGUUAAAAAAAUUAAAGCAAACCCUCUCAAUAAGAAGGUGCUGUUAAUAUUAUGUUUGGACCUUAUAAUUGAGAUUGUUUUUGCACAGAUUCUCAGUGUGUGGCCACAUUAUUUCCUUGACACAGAUUUCUUCUGGUAAAGGAGAUCCCGGCGUCUUUCGAAAUAUCAGACAAGAUACUGCUGCCUCAAUGGUAGUUUACAAUGGUUCCUUUAUUCUCAGUUUGGAUAUGUUACUCAUUGCCUUGCAGGAAAAUUUUUCUCUGUUAACCCAUGCUUGUAUUUCCUGCCAGGAUAACAAUUUUCCAAUGAAUAAGGGGUCUUUGAAUGAGCCACCAAUUGACCUAUUUAGAAAGGUAAGAUGCGAUCUAGUUCUUCUGUACUUGUUGGUAAUGAGUCUAAAAUUGGAGCUCACCGGUGAUUUCUCAUUUUCUUACUUAAGUUUGGAUAUAUUUUUCACAAUCCUCUUCAUGACUUGGUAUGCAGCUCUCCUUGGCAUCUGAAGUCCAUAACAACUUAAAAUCUCAGUCAAAAAUGCCUUUGGUUUCUAAGGUUAGUGUAAACGAUAAUUUUAGCUUUGAAUCUUUUAAUGAAAGUUUGUAUCUUUUUUUUUUAAUUAAUAUACUAGUGCUUUCAUUGAUUGAAUAAGGAAUCAAAAGAGAAUGCACCACAAUCAUUCCUUCUUGAACAUGAGGUAUACUACUAUGUUCCAUAUAUCUAUUGAUAUAAUAUGUAAAACAAUUCCUAGUCAAUUACUGCAAAAACUUGCAUCCUAAAUAAAUCUAGUAUUAUGGUUCAGGUUUUGAUUUGUUGUUAGUCCUCUUACCACGAUAAUCGCAGUCUCAUAACAUCCAAUUUUGCAGAUGAAGGUGUUCAAAGAGAAAUCUCAGAAGUUUGGUAGGAAUCAGUAUCAGUGUGGGAGUGAAUCAAGUGAAAGUAGGAUUACCGAAGGUGGAUCACGGUUCAACUUCAACAGGUAUCACUAUUUCUGAAUUUAUUUGAUGCGAAAUGCCAACUGAUCCUUUUCUCCAAAUUCUGACUUUUCUUUUAGCUUUAGAACUUGACUAAGAAAAUUAUCAGGUACAACAAUUUUUAUAUUUAUACUGCAAUAAGCUGCUGAUUCCAUCUCCACAAUUUCCUGUUAAAAGUUAAAACUUCGACACAAUAUAUUUGUAUACAUUUCAUUGAGACAGAAUAUUUUCGAUGAUUCUUGUCACAGGAAUUUGGAUAUACGCUGAGAACAGAGCCGAAAAGCUUUCAUUUUUUGAAAUGAGACAAGUUUUUCGAAUGAAGCUAGUCUUAAAUCUACAAUCUAAUGCGAAAAGAAAAUUUUGUUUUAUAUCAAUAAUGUAAAGGAAAUAAAAAAAAUUUUGGAGAGCAGCAAUGUACAUAAGUAUAAAUUAUAGUUGGCAUGUUUCUUCUGUUUCUUGUAUAUACCAGGGAAAUUGUAUUUGUGGUUCAGGUUAAGCGAAAAGUGUUGAUUCAGUUUUUACCUUCUUGUUCUUUGUUGAAGGAUUUCAUUUUAUGUCUGAUGGUUCCUGUUUCAGCGAUCUGUUUCUACAAUUCUCACACGUGUCACGUUUCCAUGUGAGGUUACACAAUGUUGUUGGCACAAUAUCAUUUUGCAUCAAAACGUCGUAUAAGUUGGUGACCGUAAUAAUGGAGGAAAAUAAAAAGGAAAGUGAAAAGCGACUAGUAUGGUAGAGAUUGAGUAUUUUUUUUUUUUAAAUAUAUAAGGAGGUGGAGAUAAAUGAAUCUCAUCAUUUUAUGGUAAAAAAAAUGUAACUUUUCUCCUUAAAAUUGGAGUAGUUGGCAUAUGCUCCACAUAUACUAAUUGCAAAAGCAUUUUCAAAUUAUUAUUUAAUAAGUUCACACCAGACAUAAAACAAUCCAAGAAAGCUAUUUUACCAUUUUGAGGGGUUUUUAGUUCGGUUCCGUACGCAAAAAUAAACCAAACCAAAAUCGUUUUGGUUUGCUCUCGUUUUUCAUUCAAUUGAUUAAAUAGAUCGAUUUUUUUUUUUCUUAAUUUGAAAAGCAAACUGAGCUAUUAGUUCGGCUUAAUAUUUGGGGGGGGUCGUUGUUUUUUGGCCCAGUCCUAGCCAUGAGGGUAAACAUUUUUUAGGUAAAGCUUAUAUAAAGAUUAAAAAUAGGUAAAAAAAAAUUAGUUAGAUUAUGAGGGUUCACUUAAUCUGAUAGUCAUUUAUUUAAGAAUUUGCUUUCUCAAAUCUAGAUUUUUAAAUGAAAAUUUCAUGUGGAUUUGUUGCUGCACUGUAUGAUGUUAUAGUAUUUUGGUUCGAUUAACUAUUAUAUUAUACGGUGUAAUAAUAAAUUCAUAUGAAAUUUGCAUUUAAGCAUCGAGACCUAAGAAAUUAUACAUAGAGAGAGAGAGAGAGAGAGAAUUUCUAAUAAGGAUAAUAAGAUAUCCUUAUUUUAAUAAAAAAAAUUGCUACUAAAAUACAAAAAAUAAUAUAGUAACUAAUGUAUUGAAAUUUAGUUUUCUUGUAUUUUUGUGGUAUUCUCGUUUUAUUAAAAUGAGGAUGUUUUCAUUAAAUAAUAAUAAUAAUAUAGUCAUUUUUUUAGCACGAGUGCUUGUAUUAUUUAAGAUUUGGGAUUUCACAGCUGUGUCAAAUAUUUUUAUACUAUUGUAAAAUAAUUUUUGAUGCUAUUGUAAAAUCUCAAAUCCGUAUUAUAAAUAUGCAUUGUUAUAUACUACAAUGCGAGCGUGUGUAUUUCUUGUGUUUUAAUAAUAUAUCUUCUUACUAUAACGACUUAAGGGAUUGUGUGUGUAUAAUUUUCUUAUUGGCAAUUCGAAUAGCAAAACCGAUCAGUUUUUGAAUUAAAAAAAUAUAAAUGCCCAAAUCUCUGCCAUUGUCCAAAAGAAACCCAAGCUCCUAGCUAGCCUGCCACCAAUCGUCAUCGGUCAUCGCUCAACUCCAUCGCGCGCCAGUAGCAUCAAUAGCGCCGCCCCAUUUUUGCAUAUUAAUAACACCUGUGGUUGAAUAAAUUUUCCAAACCAUGGAUUCGAACACAACAAGCUUGACUUGGACGACCAAAAUAGCAAUGUAGUUGCCUUCUUUAAAGUUUUGGCGGAAAAACAGAUGACAUGUCGUAUAUUACAAAAUAACCAGAUGACAUUUUGUAAAAAAAAAUGCAUGCGCCGGCGGCAUCCUGUACGACAUGUCGUAUCUGUAUAAAAAAAUUUUAACUUGUUUGGAAAUCAAAAUUUCAAUUGAAUAUGCUAGAAGACAAUAUAAUAUUGGGAAAAUUUCAAAUCAUUUCAUAUAAGUCAAGAAAUUAAAUAUAUAUUUACACACGUUAAUCAGUAGCAUAUGUGGUGGAACCACAAAUACUACACACAGGUAGGCGGCUGAAUAAAUUAAUAGCAAGUGAGUUUACAUAUGUUUAUUUGUUGCGUUUGUUAAGAUCUGAGUACUUAAAAUAUUACUACGAAGCACACAAUUCUAAUAUUUGAAAUUAGCCCUUUCAUCAGUGAGAUAAAUGAAGAGAUGAUGGACAAAUUGAAAUUUGUAAAGCUAACAUAUUCUGUCCAUAAAUUCAUGGUAACAUAAUUCACCUCACUAAAAACUUAAACGUAAUAUCCGAAUACGAGUUAGUAAUGCUAGAGAACUUGGCCUGUAACCCACAAGCAUUCAUAAGCAACCAUUCAACAAAAGAUUUUUAGUACUUCAAACUAAAUUCCUAAGCUAGUCAGUCCAGAAUGUACAAAAAUUAGUGAUAAGCACAAUUAUACAUCUUCUCUCUUCAAGGAACAACAUCAGAGACUAAUUUUAUCCUUCAAGUUCCUGGCUGUUAAUUCAAAACACAAAAGGAGACUAGCAAUUUAAAGGGUGUUCUUAGAUAUAACUUCUCCAAACCUAACAAACCACCGAGCAUCAGACGAAUUGUCGUCGUGCUCAACACGCUGCUGCCGUUCUCUGUUGACCACAAAUUUGGUGUAAUAGUCGAUUGGUUUUGGAGCGGCCAGAGAAAGUUUUGCGGGUGGAGCUGGAAGAAGGGAAACCAGAACUCUGGCUACUUCCUGCAUGGUUGGUCUUUCUGAAGGGUAGCGCUUUGUGCAGAGCAGAGCAAGCUGGAAGGUCUUUCUCACAGCGCUUAAAUCCACGCAUGUCACUGAAACCUCUGGGUCAACAGCCUCCAUCACUGUGUUGUCAUCAGCCUUGGACAUUAUCUGAAAACACAAAAUACACAUGCAGACCGUUCAACUCAAGAGUUAAGUUGCUUAAUAGCAUACUUAAUGUAAAACAAAUGCUUAAAUUUAGUGACAGUUUAAUGUCCCACACAGCAACCCAGGAUUUUCCACUUUGACAACAUAUUUUAACUCACAGGAUCAAUGAAAAUUAGACCUUAUAAUUCAGGGCAUUAGAUGCAUACCAGUUGAUGCAAGUUAGACUCGUUAUCCACAGCCUUCUUCCCAGUCAGAAUUUCAAGAAGUACAAUACCAAAGCUAUAAACAUCUGAUUUUUCAUUGAGACGAGAGGUAUGGGCAUACUCAGGAUCAAUGUAACCAAUUGUUCCUAGAACAAAAGUUGAGGCAUGAGGCAUUGCAGUCGGUAUGCAUCUUGCAAUCCCAAAGUCAGAGAGAUGAGCGUCAAAAUUCUCAUCUAUCAGGAUAUUUGAUGAUUUUACAUCCCUGUGAAUGAUCCGGGGGUUGCAAUCAUGAUGAAGAUAAGCAAGUCCUUGUGCAGCUCCAACUGCAAUCUUCAGGCGAGUUUCCCAGUCAAGUUUUACUUUCUUGGAUGGUCCUGUAAUGCAACACUUGUCUUCUUCAGAAACAAAAAAAAAUAUAUAUAUAUAUAUAAAUACACAUAUAUAGUAAGAUAAAUAAUUCCCCAAGUAAAUAUUCAAUAUAGGAAAAAUGAGCAUAUCAUCAACUUUCAUCUAGUAAUAACAACUAUAUGGUACAGGCAAGAUAACUGACCAUGAAGGAGAUCCCACAGAGAACCAUUCACCAUGUAGUCAUAGAACAGGAGAUUUCCAUAUGGAGACAAAGCAUAACCAUGCAAGCUCACAAUAUUUCUGUGUCUAAUGCUGCCAAUGGUUUCAAGUUCAGUCUCAAACUCUCUCAAGUUGUGAGGAUACUGAUUGUAAAGUUUCUUAACUGCUAUUGGUCGGGAAUUCUUCAGUGCACAUUUGUAAACAGUACUAGAUGCACCAUAGCCAACGAUAUACUUCUCACUCAAAUUCUCAGUGCUUCUCAUUAUAUCAUCAAAGGUGUGAAUAGCCAUAUCCAUGUGCAGAAUCACAAGCUUGGGUGGUCCUGGGUAGAAAGGAAACCAACCUUGAAGAUUUGAAGAUACAAAUGUUGCAAGUAAAUACUAAAGCAAAGACAUACCUAGCAUAGAUUUUCUGGAACCAGUAAUUAAUUGCUGCCUUUGUUGGUUGGAUUUAUACACAGCAAUUGCAGCCAUCACUAACAAUGUAAUGAAGCCUAACACCAUACAAACAACAGCAGUUCGGGAGAACAUAACUGGAAAACAAGAUAGCUCAUUGGGUAAGCAGAGAGUUCUAAAUUUGAUCCUGCCAAUGAUCGUAUACACAAAACAUGGAUCUAUCAUAAAAUAACAAAAGAUUACAGAAAGAUUAAGUUAAUACCUCUGGCCUUUGUCACCGAAGGACCACAUAUUGAUCCUAUCCAAUUUCCACACAGUAGUGGAUUUCCAAUGAAGCUGGUGCAAAUAUGAAUAAUCAAUACAAAAAUCAAAAUUCCAAAAGCUAUGAACUAAUGUUUUUGCAUACCUAUUUGAUGAAAAUCGUGAGAAGUUUCUGAUUGGGGGUAUAAUCCCUGAUAAGUUGUUGUACGACACAUUCCUGAAAUUCAUUAAAUUUAGUAGUUUGCAAGACUUCAUAACAAACAAGAAUUUCUUUCAUAGAAAGGGUAAUGUCUUACAAAUUAGAUAGACUGAAACAAUUGCUAAGCUGAUCUGGGAUCCCACCUUGCAAAUUGUUGUUGUUCAAAAUCCUGACAUAAAUUUUCAUCUCACAUUUUAUAUCUGCUUGAUAAAUAAAUACACAACAAAAGUACUGCUUCAACCACAUGGGAAAAAGACCAUGAACUUACAGAGAAAUGAUAUUUUGCAGUUGACCCAGUUCUGCAGGAAUGCUACCAGACAGUUGGUUGAAUGACAUGUCACUAAAAAACAGAAGAGAAGAAAGAUUAAAAAAACAGAGGUUACUCCAUUCCAUACAGCUGUAGAUUUAUCAAAGUAAAUUAGCUCACAUUGUUUGUAUGCUUCUAAGGUUUCCGAAUUUUGCAGGCAACAGCCCAUUCAGAUGAUUCCUGCUCAAAUUUCUGGGCAAGUGGAAACUAUAUUAACUGAUGCACUAAUGUAAAUCAAACAGAAUGAACCCACAUUGAACCAUGCUUGGGUUGAAGGAUUACAAAGUGAGAAGGUGCUCCAGAUCACCAAUUGAAGCAGGAACAGAUCCAGAAAAAUUAUUAACUGAGAGAUCCCUGAAUCAUAGAACAAACAUAAGCACCUAAAACUGGAAAAUAACAAUAGACAAAACACAUCAUGGCAUGAAACUCACAGCGUGUCAAGAUUAAUAAUUCGUCCAAGCUCAGUGGGUACCUUGCCUUUGAAGUUGUUCCUUGAAAGGUUUCUGAACAUCAACUAUAUUAGUAUAGGAAAACAGGCAUCCAUGCAAUAGAUAUUGUAACUUAAAAGAAUUCUCUAAACUGAAUGAUCAAAACGUACAAGUAAGUCAGACUCCCCAGAUUCCGGAAACUAGAUGGGAUAGCCCCGCUUAAGCGAUUACCAUGCACAUUGCUGUGAAAUAAAAUCAAGAAUCACAAUCAAAUUAACUGAAAUGAGACGCAACAUUAUUACAAACACACACAAGGGAUUCAGUUGUAUUCAGAAAAUUGGUAUCUUACAACUGAUUCAAUGCUGUACAGGAACUGAUAUUAUGCGGAAUGGGUCCUUCCAGAUUAUUAUCUGCAAGAUUCCUGAAUCAUAAAGGACAAACUGAUAAGUAACAUGAAAUGAAAAAUAAUACUACACAGACAUAACAGCAGAGACUCACAAUUCAAACAACUGCUCUAGCUUCCCAAGUUCUGCAGGAAUUGUUCCAACAAGUUGAUUAUUUUGUAAUUGCCUACGUGAAAGUAAUUAUCUUAUCAACAGCAUGAACCGUGCAUAUGUAUACUAAGUUUUGGGAAAUGGAAAAUAGCUCACAAGUAGCUCAGUUUAGACAUAUUGCCAAGCUCUGGGGGAAUUGGUCCAGUCAGCUUAUUGCCAUGGAGAUAUCUGGCACAGAAGAAAAUUUAAAAAACAAAAAAGAAUCAAGACAUAAAACAUAUUAAAGAACAAUAAUAUUAUCGUUUGAUGUAAUCAAACUAACAGUUUUCCAGUGUAUGACAAAUUGCCAAGUAUGGGAGGGAUUGGUCCAACAAGCUCAUUCUCACUUAAAUCCCUGAAAAGUAAAAGAAACAUAAACACAAAAGUCAAGACACGUGCUAUAAAUGUAUCUAAAGUCCAUAGAGUCUGGGCGACAAAGAACGCAUGUACUUACAACACGGCUAGAGCCUGCAUAAGGCCAAUGACCUCUGGAAUUUUACCCGUUAGCUUAUUUCCUUGAAGUGAUCUACAAAACAUCAGGUGUCAAUUACAAAAAACAUAUGAUAAUUGUAAAAGUUUCAUAUGUAAAGCUCUAUGUUUAAUAAGAAAAAUAAAUUGAAGUGGAAAAGCUCACAGUGUUGCCACUUGAAGGAAUCCAAUAUUGUAUGGUAUCUCUCCAGUGAUCUGAUUGUAAGAUAUGUCCCUGAAGUUCCCCACGAUCAGAAAGUUGAUUAACACAGAAAAAUGUAAGUACAAAAUUCAGUGCAGUGUACAGUAGUUGACAUACAAUAUUUCAAAGCUUGUACAGUUGCCAAUGCUGUCCGGGAUUGUUCCAGUUAGAUUAUUGCCUCGUACAUCACUAAAAUCAAUAAAAACAACUAAUAUCAUAAGUAAUUAUAUCUGUUGAAUGGAAAAACCCAAUUUUUAUAUACAUUGAAUGGAAAAAAGCAAUUUUUGCACCCCAAAAAAAAAAAAACUGACUACUCACAAAUACCACAAGCCGGUUAAUUGACACAUGUCAGGAGACAGCAUUCCAGUCAAUGCAUUUCCCCUUAGCCCACUGUAAACACAACCCCAAACACAAAAUGUGAAAUCCUAUGCUUCAAGAAAAUGUGUAAACCUAAAUGUCAGUAGGCAAAAACUUAAAAAUGUAUGAACUCUCAAUGGCUCCGUUGAAACUUCCAUAUAACUAUAGUAAAUUGUAACAGGAGGGAACACAAUGUUCAAAUGCCUAACAGACUACUAUAUCUUUAUAACUUACAGGUAUUGCAGCACUUCAUUCCAGUAUAUUAGCCUUGGAAUCUCACCAGUGAGCUGGUUUCGAGCAAGAUCACUACAAAUAUAAACAUUCAAAUGCAAUUGAAAUUAUUAAAAACGAUAAAUAUCUCAAAAGAAGUAACAUCAUAUCUGAUAUCACGACUAAAUUGGUAAAUCAGGCAUCUCAUCAGUUAAGUGGAAACUCACAGAGUCUUCAGAUUAGGAAUCUGAGUUAAGGUGGAUGGAAUUGGACCGGUAAGCUGAUUGUUUUUCAAAUUCCUGCAUUGCGUUAAUGGAUAUGCACUCAUUAAUUUACCAUGUAACUCCAACAUGUACAUAUUGAAACAAGUCAAAUGAUCAGAGACAUUAUAUAACAAAAAUAGCGCUUACAAGAACUCAAGUUGCUUCAGCUUUGAUAUAGAAAAGGGAAUGUCUCCAUAUAGACUAUUGUCAGACAAUUCUCUGCAUUAUGCAAAAGGAGAUCCCAUUAUGAAUCAAAAUUCUCAUAAACACUAAUAUGCACAUUAACAAGAAGGAAAAAUAGAUUUAAAAAAUUUUACAUAUGGACAAGAGAGCCACAGUUUCCAAUUUCAUCUGGGAUCUGGCCAGUUAACUUAUUCCCCUGAAAAUCUCUGCCAACAUCGCAAAAAUUAAAAAAAAAAAAAAUCAAUUACGACUACAUUGGGAACAUAAUAAAAGGGUUUGGUAAGAAAAUAAAAGGGCGCAUACAUGGACUGCAAAUUUCUUAAAUCUCCAAUGGAUGGCGAAAUCUCUCCACCCAGAUUCAAGCUUGACAGGUUCCUACAAGUAACCAGUACCCCAUUCAUUGCAUUGCACUUCAUUGCAUUUUAUAAAAAAAAAAAAAGUAACUUAAAACAGAACAAAACAUACAAAGAAACAACAGAGAGGCUGCUGUUAUCGCAAAAGACACCACGCCAUGAACAGAAAUCAGAGUUGUGCACAUCGUCCCAGUCCAGCAACACAUUCGCCAGGUUACUGAAUGACGCUUUAAUCGCCAUCAACGCUUUCCCUACAACAACCCCAGGAUUAUUUUAAUAUUCUCCAAACACCUAAAUAUCUCCUUUUAUCUUAUUAACACAAGAAGCACUCAAAACAACAAAAACGAACUUCAGUUCCUUUUAACAAAAGACGCUUCAUGCAUUUGAAUAAUGCUAAAAACAAACAAAACCUUCAUCAUCAUUGAGUGGAGCGGCGGAUGAACAAAGAAGCAAAAACACCGCCAUUAUGAAACUAAAAGAAAGCUUUCUCUUCUCUCUUUGUAAGAGAACUCCCAUUUUCAUUUUUUUCCCCCUAAAGAAAGCUCAAAACAUGGAGAGACCUUUUUUUUUUUUUGCACGAGUUAUGAGUUACGUUCAAGUAGAAAAAUAACUCUUCUUCUUAAGUUUGGUUUGCUGCUAGCCUGCUACUUGUUUCAUUGAGAGGGGGAAGAGAGAGAGAGAGAAAGAAGAGAGGAGGGAGAGUAAAGGAACAGGCGUUUAGCGUGAGGUGCAAGGUAGACUGAGCAAUAGCUGUUAUGAAGAGAGAGGGAGUGACAGUAACUGGGAGAGAGAGAGAAGCAACUAAGCAAGAGACAACUGACACGGGAGGAGAUAUUACUCUAAACGGCGGUGAAGCGACGUUAGUAGCUGACCUUAUUUUUUUAGGCUUUUUGGGGGGAGUCUUUUAGGCCUUUUUGACUGAUUGAUUGAAUCAUUCAUUUUCAUUUUUUAAAGGUUUUGGGCUCAGCGGCCGUCAUUCCGAUCAUGCAUAUGUAUGUAGUACCGUGUCCCAAUGUUGUUUCAUUUUCGGACAGCUCUCGUUAGGCGUCUUUGUGAACCGAAGAGUUCUCCACGACGCGCGCCAAUUCGAUGCACGUGUCUCGUGGAAAUACCAGAACGGUUCGGCACUGUCGAAAAUGGACAAUCCAUUUUUUCUAAUAAAAUGAGUGCCAUUUUAUUAAUAAUAUUAUUAUAUUUACGUAAUUGAAAUAUUUAAUUUAUAUUUUAAUAGAUGUAAUAAAUAAUGUACUAUUAUUUGAUUAGUUUGAAUAAUAGAUAAUUAUUAAGUUUUAUUAUUUUUAAUUAAAUAAUAAUAUUUAUUAAUAGCGCAAUUAUUAUAAUACUAAUUAGAUAUCUCAACUGAGAGUUGUGUUUAAUUAACGUUGCAGAUGAGACAUUAGUUUUUUUUAUGAAGAUUAUGAUAUUUUAUAACAUUUAUACUAAAAGAAUUUUAAAUUUCUAUAAUUUAAGACUUUAUUUAGUAUUUUUACAUACUAAUAAAUAUUAUUUUCUAAGUAUAUAAUUUAAAUUAAUUACAAAAAAAAUUAAUGCAGUAUAGUGCAAUAUCAACAUAAUAUAAUAAAAAAUUAAUAUCAUACAAUAUAAUACUAAAUAUUAUAUAACUUUAUUAUAAUAUAGUGUUAAUACAAUAUAAUAUAACGUGUUAAAAGCAUCUUAAGGCAACUGGGUGGUCAAUAUUUGAGUUAAUUUUUAUGUGUAUUUGGAAUGAUAUACAAUGCUAUGUUGAAUCAAUACAAACCGAAUUCAAUUAAUGACGGCACGACAAUUCCCUCUUUAUUUCAUCGAGGGAGGGUGUGAGUUUGGUUGCACGCGAUGGACGGGCGAGUGGAGUGAGAGAGUUGUCCUUCGAUUGUGAAUUUGUGAUCGGGGAACAACAACGGUCUGUUUGGUUGAUCCGGUGGUUGUCAAAAGACCAAAAAGCUAAUUCCACGCUACUUUUUUUGCUAUGGGCAAAUCUUUUCUGAGAACUUUUUUUUUUUUUUCUUUAAUUUUUUGUCUCCAAUAACUUAUGGUUUUUGUGAAGCUCUUAAUAUCUGUUCUAUUAUUGACAAAGGAACAACUGAAAGUGCAAGGACCAAACUUUUCUCACACGAAAGACCAAAACUCGGCAACCAUCCGGUUAGAGUUUUAAUGGAGAUGGACAAUGCAUUAGGUUUCCGCAAUAAAUCGUUACAUUAAAAUUUUUCAAAAAGCAAAAAAGUAAAAAGUUUUAUAGCAUUUAAUCAAAGGUUUUAGUGGAAUAAUUUGUAAGUAAUAUUUGUAUAAAUUCAAGUAAUUUUCUUUAAUUGAUGAUCGAAGUUUAAAUAUUCAGAAAUAUGGGACUACAUCAUUAACUUAGGAAAUUAGCUCGUUUAAAAAAAAAUUAUUACCUUAGUAUUUUUACUUCAUGAAAACACUCUAGUUUUCGAUAAUUUUUGGAUAUAAAGUAAAGGGGCCGAGAUCAAUCAAAAGAUAAAAUAAAUAAAUUGUCUUUAAAAAAAAAAUUUAAAUUGAAGGGUCCCCUCAGCAUUAAGUUUGGUCAAUAAUUUCUCGCACUAAUUUUCAAUAAUUAAAUACACCACAACAAUAAUACAAACUCUAAGAAGCCUCUAAAAUUAGCUAAGGCACGUCACGUGAUACAUGCUAGCACACGACAAACAUCUUAAAUAGCACUGCAUUUCUAAAUAAUAAAAUAAUUAUUACGAUAUAAUAAUAAUAAUAAUUAAUAAAUAGAAAGUGUUUGGAAGAGCAGACCAGAAAUCAGAAGCAGCAAUUCUGCUUCUGCUUCUGCUUCCGCUGCAACAAUCGUAUAAAGCUGUCCGUGCAUGCUCUGCUUCUAUUUUUGUUCCAUUUACUUGUUUUUUUCUUUACCAUUUUUAAUAAUUAUAAUUAAUAAAACUUGAGCUUCCUUUAAAUUUUUAUAUUGAUAAUUAUUUACGGGUUUAUUGAAUGAAUUACGAUAGCGAGUGAUCGGGAUUGGGACCCACUGAACGCUUUUUUGGUUCAAAUAUCGAGAUAAAUCCCCAGCCGUCAGAUUUCUGAUCUUGGAUUUUGUCGGUUCCCAAAGACAAAACAACAGGCAAUUGUCCGUUGAGUUGGAUAAGAUAACUUCUGACGAACGUGUGUGUAUUUACUCAAAUACCCUCACCUUUUGUGGUGGGAUAAAUUGGGCCGGCGACCCUAAAAAAUUAUCAGACAGAUUUUUUUUUAUUUUUUUUUAUUUUAUUUUUUUAAAGUAUAUUAUACACAGAUAUUACUGACAUUACAUCAAACAUUACAAUUAAUAUUUACAAUCAUACUAUAUAACUGGGACCACCAUUAUACAUUGACACACUAAAAUAUAUGUCCAGAUAUUUUAAACCCUCUCUAAUAUUCAAGGGGUAUCUGCUCCACUCACAUUUCGUAAAGGAAAGACUGUCUCCAUUUAAUUAAUUAAUAAUUAAGGAAGAACUAAAACUAACCUCCAUAAUACUCUUAUGAAAGCUCGAACCCUUGCACUCAACAUUGAUUCAAGAAUCAAUCUUUCCACGCAGUAAAUGUAAAGGCGGCAAAUCCUAAAUGGAUCCUUGGGCUGAUACUAACCCGACCGGAUCUUUUGAUUCACAUAUGGAUUCUUUAAACUGCUUCACGUUCAUCUUAAUUUUGUACCACGUCUUACAUUUAAUUGUUUAUUGCUCUUUAUGAGGAAGAGGUGAUGGUAAAUUCAGCUUUGUGGCACUAGACGUUUAAUAGGUCAAGUUGCAUUUUCUUUUUUUAAGUUUAUUUAGAUUUUAUUUAAAAGAAUUUCAUUAAUUAUUUUAUAAAUAUUAAUUACUGUAAUUAAAUUAAUUUUAUUUUAUCAACACAUGAAAAAAUUAUUAUAUACUAUUAAUUUUUAUUUAUUACUGCUGUACCGUACAUCCGCCUUGGCCGUACAGCAGAUUUUUUUUAUAGUAAUCAUAACGCAAGAGUAUCUCUAAAAAAAUUUUUAAAUAAAAUUUUAUUAUUUAUUUAAAAAAUCACAUCAGUAUUUGAAACUUCAAAAGACGUUCCAAUUGAAAUUUGUUCAAAUAAGAAAUUAUUCUUUCUCUUCAAUUAAUGCAGUUUUCAUUCUUCUUAAAAAUUAUUUAUUUGUAUAAAAUAAUAUUAACUUAUUUUUAUUUGAAGAAUUUUUUAAAGAAUAAUAUAUUUUUUCACUCAUCUUUUUAUUAAAUAUAUAAGUAAAUAGAUAUUUAUAGAGUAAAAUUAGUAGAACAUUUUGAAUAUAUUUUAAGUUACAACAUCUCAUUAAAUCUCAAUAAAAUUAAAUCUAUACGUAACAUAUAUAAAAAAAAAAACUUCUUUAUCAUGAAAUCCCUAUGACAAAAAGGGGAAAUUAUUUCACCACUAGAAUCUAGGGAUCGUACAAAAAUUUUGAGAAUUUUUUUAGAUAAUGACUUCUUAAUUAAUAGAGAUGAAGACAUCUUUCAAAUAAUAAUAACAAAAAAUAAAAAUAAAAAUUUCCAUAACACAAGCAAAACAGUUGAGAUGUUAAAUAGAAGGGAUCCCAGAUGUAAAACGGUUCGUUGGAGAGAAUAAACGAAAACGAUUGUAAGUAGAAACCAAACCACCGUGAGUUUUGUUUUUCACUAAUAAUUUUUCUACGAUGAACGAAAAAUUAAAUUUUGACUAAAUCAAGCUCCUAAAACAAAUCCCUUUUAAAAAAACACAUUACGAAAAUUAAUUAAAUAAAUAAAUAAAACACUGAUGAUGAUAGCACGUUCCCAAAACGAAACCCACAAUAAAAUCCUUUCGGUGAUUUAGGCAGCCGAGGCAGGAACCAGACGACCAUCGCAUCAAGAACCCAUAACCCACGUGGCAAGAUCUGACGGGGCCUAUUAGUACUGGUAGCUACUACUAGGCCUCAAGACAGUGACAGGCAGACUCGUUUGGGACAGCAUUGUCCAACAAUAAAGCAAUAGGCAGCCGGCUGUUUAUCCGCCGGUUGACGCCGUCAGCAUUACUACGGCGUGAUCCUAUACGGGUCCCAUGCCCCUCUAGGACCCAACGGUGGGUCCCACCUAAGAAGACAACGCAUUUAGUGUUGGGUUUUUCAAAAAGUUGGGAUUGAUGCGAUGAGAUUUUGCUUUUUAGAGAGAGAGAGGGAGAGAGUACUGGAAAUAGUAUUAGUAGUGCUUUUUGAUUUGAAAUAUUAAAAAAAAAAAAAAGGACAGAUAUAAUUUUGUAAUAUUUUAUAAUUGUAUUAUAAAUUAAAUGGGUCUGGACGCUGGUUGGUUUGUAAUGAUUGAGUGGGUCAUGGUCUCAUUUUUUUUUUUAAUUUCUAAAACGUUUGCCACGUGGUGUAUACGGUUUGUGUUUGAGUGUCUUCAGUCUUCUUAGUUAUUUUCAGCUCAAUGCCACAAACUCCCCGGGGAGAUGCCAUGCUGGCAAUUAGAGCCGGCAGAAUAGAUUAUCGAGUCGUAUUUGUAUCGUAUCAGUUUUAUAUCGUGUCAAAUUUAGGUCGAUUUAAAUCCGACUCAUUUAAUAAUUGUGUCAGAAUAUUGAGACCUAAAUUCGACACAAAAAAAUAAUUGAGUUAUCCAAUAACCCGCUUAAUAUCUAUAUAUUGAACAAAAAUUACAUCAAAUAUUUACACACUAUCAUACAUACAUAUAUAUAUACAUACAUACAUAAUUUAUCGACAUUACAAAUAUACAUAUCUACCAAUAUAUUACACAUUUAUAAUUUUGAAGUUUUAAUUAUAUAUAUAUGAUAUUAUGUAUCAAUAUUAUAAAAUAUACAUGUCUAUCAAUUUUUACACAUUUACACUAUUGAAGCUCUAAAUAUAUUUAAAAUUUUAUAAAUAAAACACCAGCUGUGUUUAUAUUCACCUUUUAAAGAAUAAAAAAAAGAAAAUCAUUUCUAAUAUUUGAGUUUUAAUGAUUAAAAUAUGUAAAUUAUUUUAAAAUAAAAAUAUAAUCGGGUCAUUGAUCGGGUAAAUAUGUCAAGAAUUUUAACCUUAACCCGAUACGAAAAAAAAUCGUGUUGACCCAAAUCUGAUCCAUUUAAUAAUCGUGUUAAAUUUGACGACCCAUACCCAUUUAUUUAUGUCGUGUUCGUGUCGGAUAAUCAGGUCGUGUUAAAUUUUACCAGCUGGCAAUAGUAUUGCUUAAUGGUGCCUAAAUUAUCAAAAAUGGUACAAACUAAAAUUGCGAAAUAUGGUAUAGCUAGGAAAUUUUAAAAAAUAAAAGUGAAAAUCUUAAUGCCCCGUGAACGAGAAUAUAAAAUAUUAAAUUGCCAACCGGCUUUAUAUUUUUGUGUCUGUACAUUCGGGUACUAAUUAUGCGUACCCAAAAUAAUCUCGAAAAAUAUUUUAAAAAAUGCUUAUGAAGUAGAAUUUGCGAGUACUUAGAACAAUAUUAAAAUCAACAACCACUCCUUGUACUGUAUAAAAUAUUAAGAAAUUAUAUCAGGAUUUUAUAAUGUAAGGGGUCAACUAAACUAGUCAAAUACACAUGGUCAAAGAGUCAACAGAAAGAACAGAGACUUGAUACGCGAGCACUGUAGGCUGGACAGAGAACAUGAAUGGAAAAGGGAACAGAAAUCGCGAGACCCAAGAGAAUUAAAGAGCAAUUGAUUAUACACAUCAUAGGACCCGUGAUGGCUAUCCUUUUAUUUUUCUUUUCACUUACAAAUAAAUUGGUUGGGCUUUAUGUGCGACAGACAAAUACUAUGCAUGAUACAUUGAUAUCCACGUCCUUAGUAUUACACGUAUGAUGAGUAAAGAAAAUUCCGGCUUAUAUCCUCACAAGCCCAGGCAUUGUAUCCUUGAAAACACUGUUUAUAUUCCUCUUUACUGUUACUAAACCCAAAUUGUAAUUCUCAAAAAUCUGGACUGGCGAGUCCCGACCUCAAUGAAUUUGAUCCAAAGUUCAUUACAAAAAGCAACUGCCAAAUUUUCUUGCAUAAGAUACUCCAAAGGCAAGAAAAGAGCGGCAAUUUGUUGAAGUAAAAAAAAAAAAAAAAACCAUCAAUCUUGAAGUAAUACUUUGGACAACUUACAAUGGUUGAACCAUUUCCGAAAGUUGAUAGUGAGAAAGGGAACCUACACUCAAGGAGCUUGAGAUGGAGAGUAUUAAUACAAUUCUCUCAGAUUCUAUGAAGCUAUAAAGCCUAAUGGCGUGCCAUGAGUAAGGGAGAAUGGUCGCAGUUAUAUAAACACAAUACAAAAUCCAAACUGAUUCAUCAUGGAAGAUAAUUCAUCCAACGGUUUUAUCCAUUGUAAACUGCAGACGCUAUCAUCAGAAAAAAGAGUUACAAAAAGUGCUAUUAAACAGUUAUUCAAAUAAGAUGAUAACAUAUCAAACAAAAAUUUAGGGUUACAAGAAAACAAACUCCUCACUGCAUCUACUACUCAGGAGUCAGGAUGAUAGAUUAGCAUCAUGCCAUCCCUUGGUGCAUGGUGGAAUGCCCAUGAAUUCAUCAAAUUCCUUCACAUGAAUGUCACAACACUUCCACUGCAAAAAUCAUAUAUCACACACAGAGGUUGGCAUCAAUUCCAAAAGCAAUAAAGAAGAGAUUAGAUAAAAUGAAUGGCAAAACAACACAUUUAGACAAGAAUCGCACCCCUCUCAUCCGAUCAUGAAAAACAGCAGGUCCAGGAUGAUAACUGCAUGCAGUCUCAUGAUUAUCCUUUUCUUUGAAAGUUUUGCCACAUCCCUUAUUUUUGCAGAUUUGAGGCUCGUUAAUACCAAUUUUCUUCUUCACUGGAACAGGAGGCACCUCAGCAGCUACAUUACUUCCAGCAGGUACAGCUGGGGCAUAAUUGGUCUGUUCUUUGGCUUGUGAACCUAUGUAGAACAUGCAAGAAUUCAGUUCAAAGACCAAUGAAGAUGUUAAGGGGAAAAAGGACACACUUCAAACAACAAAGUGCUUCAGCAAGAUAGGAACAAAAGAUAGACACAGAGAAACAAUCUAGCAAAGACAAACCUGCUGGCAUCUCCUAGAACAAUACAAAGAGAACUAGAACAUUCCAAAUGCACUGUUACAAAGAUGAACCUCAGAAAAGUAAAAGCCCCAUGACAAAGCAAAACCUAGUACACAAUACAACUAACCUUUCCCAUUUCUCAAGCACUAGUAAUAUAAAAGGCACAUGAUCCACUAUGGUCUUUGUAUUUACAAAAACCAGAAGAGACGUGGAGGUAGAGAAAUAGCUCUAUUUAGCUUUUUGCUUAACCGUAUACUAUGAUAAACAAAUUGGAAUUAUUCCACAUUCAUUGAAUCCAAAAAGGAAGACAUGAACAAUGCAGAGUCUCUAUAUACAUAAAGCAUAAAAAUUUGGGUACCGUGAUCAGAGCAAAAGAAACCCUGUCGACAUCUUGAGCAAAGUUCUUUCGAUGGAGUGCUGGACCCAAGAGUUGUUGAAGGAGCAGGAGCUGGAGCUGGAGUUUUUGAAGUAGCGACCGGCUUAGUUAACACUGGUUUCUCAGUUGUGUGUUUACCUGUCUUACAUCUUCAUUUAUGGAACAAAAUUUUGAGCAACUAAUGUAAACAGAAACUUUGCAAAAAAUUACUGACUAGAAGUUACUGGUCGUAAUCCAAGUAGACUUACAUCCAGACCACAUGGAAACAAUCAUGGAAGUGCAAUAAAAUUUACAUCCAUAUUUUGCAUAGUUGGCCAAGCUUACCAAGGCCAACAUGUUUUAAACUGUUUUAAGAGCAAUGUACUCAAUUUAGAAAAAUACUGACAGAUCAUUGCUUCUAAAUUAACAGAAAAAUGAUUUGGAAGCAGCUUCAGCUGAAAGGAUGCAAAAUUAAGAGUUAAGAGAAAAUAUAAACACACAAUCACAUCCAACUUAGCAACUUCAGAAAAAAUCCCAAAUUGUAUUUUCAUUGUGAACAACAACAUAAGCAAGAAGCAGAUUGCCUAAAAUCUGAUACACCUGAAAUAUCAAUCCAACAGUAUUAAAUUUUUUAGAAAUGAAAUUUAACCAGUAAGGCAUUUAUAUUUCAUUCAGAGAUGAGCAAAAUCUGAACAGGCAAUGUGAUAAGUGAACAUGUUCAACAACAAAAUUCUGGGUCAUGUACUUCAGCAAUCAAUGCUUAGCUGAAUAUGUAAGUGAUAAAAUUCAUAACUAACAUGUAGUUUUCAAGUACACUGCUAUCAUAGGCACCAUGCGAGGUGAUCAUCACCAGGAGUGGACUGCUCAAAUGCCUGAAUUCUAUGGGUUAUAUAGUCCACUGCUAGCAUAGCCAAGAAAAGUAUCAAUAAUAAAGGAACAAGUUCCACAAGGAAACAUGAUAGGCAGUUACCCUGGAAUUUCCAAAAAUAAGCUGAAAUCAUGACUCCUCCUCUUGCAACAACUCCACUCCUUCAUUCCAUCAUGAAAUAUGGGCUGAAAUUACCAUUGAAAAUUAACAUGCUCAGAAAGUUUAUAAAGAAAAAAAUGAAAAUAGAAUUAUUCUUUUCAAAAGAAACAAAGUCUGACUUACUCCCUGAUCAUUUAUAAUCAAAUCCGAUAAGGUAAAACCGAAGCCCAACGAUGCAAAACAAAAACACAAUCAGUACAACAAACAAAAAUAUAAUCAUAUUUCACAAAUUAUAAAAAGAUUGAAGAAAGCAACACACCACACACCAAAUUGAUUUCACACGAUCAGCAACUUAGUUGUGCUAAACGAAUUUUCAGAAUUCUACUAAAUAAUUAGUCUUCACUUGAAGAGUAUUUUUGUAACUGAAUCAUUUCUCAACACUGAAAGCUUUGGCAAACACCUACUUUUAUAGCUGAGAGUUAGUUGAUGCAAUUCAAAUUAGCAACAGCUGUGGAUUAAAUCCAAAAAAAAAAAAAAACAUAAAUAUAUCUAAACUGGAGGUUUAAGUUCUGUACAUACAUUGUUUUUAUUGAUCACAGCAUCAAUGUAUCAAUCACAUACAAAUUUCAUCAGUUAAUACGUUGAAGUUUGAAACUACCCGUCCUCAGCAAUCUCAAUUCAUUAACAAAUGGAAGAAAGAGAAGGAAAAGAAAUUAGCAUACCGAAUCAUGGAAAGUGCAGGAACCUUCGGGAUUGUCGUCCUCGGUGAAGGUGGCGUUGCAGCCAAUUCGCUGGCAUCGAAGACGCUUCAAAGCGUCGUCGUUCUGACUCGCCAUUCUUUUGGAUUUCGCGCGUUCAAGAGGUAAGUAAGGUAAGCGUUUCGUAGAGGAAGAGUGGAAGACUUUGCAAGGACUCGAUUGGUCUGCAAUGUAAAGACAACGAAGAUUCGUCCUUUGUCCUUGCUCUCGAGUUUUUUUCUUAUACUUCAGUGCUGCGUUUUGAUUCACAUUGUGAUGGAAUAAUUUUGAUUCGGUCGACGUGUCCCCAUCUUUGACGGUCCAUUAUAAUCUCGGUCGCUUAAACACGAUCAUACCGGCUUCUGCGUCGGGUCCUCUGCGAAAAUAGCAGAUAGGCCCCUAAAAUUUUGCUCAAUCUCAGUUAUACCACAAUGUUUUCAAAAUGAACAUUCAAACCCCUCUUCAUAAUUUUCUUUUUAAAAAAAGAUCCUUUUCAUUUUGGGCUAGUAUUAUUGGUAUUUUUUUUUUCUAAAUAAAUAAAGCAAUAGAAAAUCGGAUAAAAUUUCAUCGAUACACUUCUCAAACUUUAAUAGGUUUAAGGUUUGAAAGCGUACACAUCCAUUUUCUUCAAUUUCAUGAUUUUAUCGAGUAAGGUAUAGGGUUUACAACCAAGACUCAGAGAAUUCCACAAUGAACUGCUUAAAAAUGAGAAGGUUCUAUGCAUUGUAAAAUGUUACUUCAGUUGAGAACAUUUCUCAUCAUGUUUCAUAAACAAGGCUAUCUCACAUCCAUUAUCAUCUACAGCUUUCUUUCCGAGGAACAAAUCAAUAACAUUUUUAUGUGCGUUUCAAAACGAGUGGUAUAUCGUGAGUGGCUUACAACAUGCCAACCGACUAGUAUGAGCAGGGUUAUGGGCCGAUAAUUUUGUAUUUACAGUAUCCAAAAACAUUAGAGAACGUGUGUAUGUACAUCUAAACUAUGUGCUGAGUUACAGUGGAACUGGAGUCUUGACCUGUAAUCCAAAUGCUCAAAAAUGGAACUGGUAAUGGCACCACACCCUGAUUUUAGAAAUUGCUGAUAUCAAAAUCGUAGCCCCCGAUGAGCCUGCAGUAAUGAAUUGUCACAAUAUUCUGUUAUGCACUCCAACCAGGGCUGCUGGCCUUCCCAAUAAAUUUAAAUAAUACAACAGAUUUAGCAUGUUUUCAAGACAAGAAAGUUUUUUCAUAAACAAAAAGUAAAGCAUCAGAACUAAAAUAGUCCUGGGAAGAUAUUCAAUGUUCCUAAAGAUUUCUAGCACUUCAAAGCCUGAGAAAUGUUGAUCGCAGAUUUCAUUCUAAUAGCUGUCCAUUUCAAGUGAAUCUUCGACAAUGGGCAAAGACCUUUCUGGUCUGUAGCAAUAAUGUAAUAAAGAAUGGAUACACUGUUCUUUUGAAUCUAUAUUUAUAAUAAUGUAUCCCUGUUGAUGACAGAGCAUCUUAUAUGCCCCGUAACUUCCUAAUGCUUAGAAUUUGCUAAAUGCUAAAAUGCUUAAAAGCGUGUAUUCUGCCCAUGCACAAGCAAAAUCACCCCAGCUUCGUGCUUAAAUGCCUACCUCUGUGUGUGUGUGUGUGUGUGAGAGAGAGAGAGAGAGAGAGAAACCUCAGAUCUUGGUGUGCCUUCUGACGGGAACCAAUGCAAAAGUAUACCCAAGUUCAUCACAUUUGGUAUCAAUUUGAACAGAAGAGGAGUUGUAACCUGUAGAUUAUCUUUCGCUAGCAUCAACGGCAUUCGUUUUAAUUAUAAAAGAACUGUAAAGCUUCCAAUGCAGUUUCUAUAUCAUAAGCUUACCAGACUGAGAGCUGUAGUUCCAAGAAGAAGAAGAUACAUCUUUCCCUAAAUUAUCAAUCAAGUUCAAUUCAAUAGCAAGAACAAAAACAUUAGUUGUGAUGAUGAUAAUAUUUUUAAAAAGACAUGACUUAAACAACUAUUAGACAAGGGCUAAGGUAUAAAUCAAGCAUCAGAACGAGAGACUGAUGUCACCUCAACAAGAUGAAGAUUUGAGGCUCGACUUAGAAGAACAAAAGCAAAUUCUCCAAUUUGAGCAAGUGACACUCCAACCUGCAUCAUAUAUAUGCACAUAUAUAUAACAGAUCCAGAAGAUCAGAAAACUUUAUCUAAAAUAAGAAUUCUAUUCCAUAAGCUUAGGAAGCCAACUUACAAGAAAUGAUGUCCUCAUGCUAUAACCAAACAGCUUAGUAACUAUAGUACCAACAGCUGUCUUAACAAUGAUAACCAGAAUAACAGAUGCAAGCAAAAUGUCCACAUGAUUCCAUAGAAAAUGUACAUGUAUGAGCAUUCCAAUACUGGAGAGGAAAAGAGCCGCAAACAGGUUACGAAUUGGCUCCACCUACAGCAUAGAAGAACCUCAACUUCAGGAGAUAUUGAUUAGGAUAUUCUACAACAGUGCAAAUGACUAAAAUUUUCAAGUGACAACCAGAGCAAUGCAAAAUCUUCAAUUUUCUUCAGCCACUUAAUAGGAAAAAGGGGCACAAAUAAAAGGAAUUGUUCAUUAAGAUCUGGAAAGAUGAAACAAAUUAAGAUAAAAUAAAAGGAAUAAAAAAUUUCCAACAGAUGCAUUGGAACUUAAAAUAGCAUAACAACCCUUUUCUGGAAAGUGGAAACAACUCUGUAUAAGUCAGGAUUUUUAAUAAAAUGCAUUCUUCAUCCACAAAAUAAAAAUAAAAUCUAAGUGGAGGAAUUAUCACUAGCACAGAAAAGUACCUGAUCUAAAGUAUGUUUAGCAAAGUCAGUGGUAGAUAUCAUCACUCCAGCCAUGAAUGAACCCAGCUCAAGACUGAGGCCCAGCUUAUCACUGCACUGAAAAGAAACUCCAAAGGUAUUACAUUGUCCAAGCGGAUGAUCACUUAACAGCAUAAAAGAAUAUCAUGCAGUGCAGAAACAGUAAAUUAACAAAGCAGAAAACAGAACCCAUUAUCAAUUGCCAGCAAGGUGUAUUAACCUUGACAAAACAGGUAAUUAUGUAUUGCACUUACCCAAGCAGAUAAUAAGCAAAAAGCUACAGCAGCAAGCUGAUAAAGCUCAUUUGUCUGGACAGGCGAAAAGAAAUCAAAAUGAGCUAAUAAAGGACAAGAAAUUUAUCAAAGUCAAGGCACAAAAACAAAAUAUAUGUACAAAACUCACUUGAGAUGACAGCUGUAUCAUGAGCUUUAGAAAGCGGGGAACAAAAGACCAGGAUAAAAUAGAUGUAACAGUGAGAUAAAUGGACAAAACCAGCAGCCUGAAGUUAAUAAAAGAAAAAUGUCACUAAUCAACAAAUAAUGUUUGCACAAGGGCACUGGUCAACAACAGCAAGGAAACAUUGUUGAAAAAGAAAAGGAGAACAACAAGAGCAAUCACAUUAAAAUCUAAAUUUAAAGAGCUCAAAUGAACUUACAACUUCCCCAUUGAAACCAUUCCUUGCAGAAGGCCACUGUUACCACCCAAGACUGGGAGCAGAGCAAAUAGUAACCCAACAGCACAAUCCUGAAAUAACACAAGGUCAAGAAACGGCUAAAUAUGCUUCAAAAACUGAAUCCUACUAGUCCAUGUCAUAAAUUGUAAGCGGAAUAUCAUUAAUAUAGUUUUUAAACAGCACCUGUAAAAUAAGUGUUCCAAUUGUAACUUGACCAUGAAGAGCAUUAUUGCUGUUCUGUUCUACCAAAAAUUUCACCACCUAGCACAGGUAACAGGAAAAGUAUGAACCAGAUAGAAAUCCACUAGCGGAAGCCAAGAUGAAAAGAGGAAUUCUAUUGCCAAAAAAAUGGUGUAGAAGAAUACCACUGCAGUUGAUGACAUUGAUAAGAAGGAACCAACAAAUACUCCCUCUGACAAUUUGGCUCCACAUAACUGCAGCAUAAGCAAAUAGUCCAAGUUUAACAUCAAUUUUGACAAGAAACACAACAUACAGAAAUUGUAACAAAAACCAAAUCAGAGGCUAAGCAACAUACUGCAGCCGUUAUGCCACACAAGAACAUAAAUAUUGCAAUUUGUAGUAGCCCUCCAAGAACAGCGACAUGUCCCACUGCUUUUAACUGCAUUGAUGAUGAAUUAUGGAAUUGGAACAGAUUUUAUGAACAAAGAAGGAAAAUGUUGUCAAUAGUUAUCAUACACUUUCCAAGCACAGAAUGAUGUACCUUUGUCAAAGAAAACUCUAGCCCCAAAGCAAAAAGAAGGAAGACAACACCAAAUUGUGCAAAAGUUUCAACCUGUGAUGAAUGAAACAAAAAGGAACUUGUUACCUGGAAUAAUGAUCGCAAAAUAAACAGAAGAACAAAUACACCACAAGAAUCUCUACCAGAUAAUAACUAAUAGUAGUUUACUGAAUAUCUACCAAUUCACCUAGGCUUAAUGAGCUAAAUGAAAAACUUUUCAUCAGAAAGUUAAUAUCAUAAUGAGGGAUUGAUAGUUAAAAAACUGGAAAAGUUAAAGAGGAACAUACUGUUUUUCGAGGCCAGGUUUUCUUCAAAAUCUCUUGAUGUGAAAGUUCUCAGCUUUCACAACAAAAAACUAAAUUUUGCAGUGAAGUAUUGUGGGACCGAUUACCAUAGGUUUUAUCAAACCAGAACUAAAGCAGUACCGCAACCAUUCUCGAAUUAGUUUAUUCAUUCAGCAUUAUAUCACCUUUAUGCAUCCUUUUAUAUUCAUCCGGUCUACUUCCAAGAAAAUCCUGUCAAAAUAGCCUAUGAACUAAGUGUCCCAAGAAAAUCCUGUCAAAAUAGCCUAGUGUCCCCGUACACAUUACCAACUGGCCAUUAUUUAUUUGUUUAUUUUCUUUAGCAGUAACUAGAAUAACUAUAGCUAGAAGAAGAAAUAAUCAGAGUGCCAAUGCAUAAACUACAGAAUAUACAUUCUACACCAAGAAUUGAUUAACUGAACUAUUUACAAUAGCAUACCUGUACCAAUUCGCUAAUGAAUUUCAGGCCCCCUGGUCCAAUAAUCGAACCAGCAAGAAGGUAGCCCACAAUAACCUACCAUGUGAAUCCAUAACUAUAUAAGAAUCCCAAAGCGUCCAUCAUUCAAAUCACUUAAUAUUGCUGAGUGCGAACCACCGUAAAAAGUAAAUGAUCAUUCAGUGCAAACAAGUAUAUCAUAUAUGCAGAAAACAAACAUGUAAUAUUACAAACCGGUUGUCCCAAACAUGAAAAGAUGAUUCCACCAAUAGCAGCAGAAACUAUGACAACUACCAAAUCUGAAAUUAAUCUGCAGCAAGAGUGGAAAAACUAUUAAGCAUAAAUCACAGGCGGCAUGCGAGUCAGUACUCAAGGAGAACUUAGAAGUAUGCAAAAACUUAAUUGCUUUUAAAUCAUAAUUACACCACUGUCAAGUAGCAAGACCCUAGAGAUAUUGUCUAAUAUUAAUAUGAAGAUAAAGAGAUUCGGACCUCAAAUCUACUUGAAGAACUGGAUACUUGGAUUUCUUGUUUGACAUCACAAACACAUUAUCCUACGUUAAGUAGGAAAAACAGGUCAACUCUGUCUAAUUAAAGAAUCUGUCCAAAGUUUCCGCACAAAAAAUCAAUUGCAAACAUUCACCACACCUUCUUGUCAAUCAAGGUCAUUUCAUCAUCAGAAUCCUCUUGAUCUGAGAAAAAGACAUCUUGAAACUGAAAUGGCCGUGUACCACUGACCAAGAUAUAUACAAGGUUUAAAAAAAUGUCAGUUUGGUAACAGAAGAAACGUAAUCUCUGAUUUCAAUAUAUUUAACAUAUAUUGUCCCAAAGAAUUCAUUUUGAAACACAACAGAUUUUAUACAUUCCCAUACUUCGCUUCUUGAGUAUCAUUUCUCUUCAUCUUCUCAUGAGUGAUUUUUGCUACAGUCUCCAGUACUGCCUGAAAAUCAUAAUCAUGACGCAACAUUGACAUACAUAGAAGUGAACAGUGGAGGAACAGAGUUAUAUAACUAGGAAAAUUACUUCUAAAACAAGAAAUAACCAAAUUUAUCAUAUGACAAUCACUGGUAAAAAACUGCCUGUUAAAGGUACAUUUUUAGUUACCAAAUGUGAUUAGCCAAAAACAUUUAAAUGACAUGUAAGUAAUCCCAAUUCUCUUUUACUGAAAAUGUAAGGUGCAUCACCAGCUGUAUUGUAUUUCUUUACAUACCAGUAACCCAGAUAGAAAACAAGAUUUCAGUUUCUUUAAUUAACUCCUAAAAGCUUAAUAACAGAAGUUAUGCCAGCUCAACAAAACUCUAAUCACCAAUUAUUCAUUUAAAAAAAAAAAUGAUUUCGGAGGUUCAAUCCAAUAGCCUUAAGUGAAGAAGCAAACUGACUUGUUGAUCUGCUACGCUGCUGUUGAAGCUGCUCCCGUCAGAUCCUAGUGAGAGCAGAAAGUAUGACUAAAUAUUAAGCACAAAACAUUGAAGUAGCUAAUGAGGCACCAAUGAAUACAUGCAAGCAUGUGGAACAGUCACAGUUUCUUAUGCAAUCAAUAACUGAAAACAUUAAAAGAAAAAGCAUAGGACAUGGCAAGUAUCACCAGUCCAGGAUUCAAAUCUGAAGCAUAUACUAUCAACCUCAAAGAGCACUUGAAAAAGAAUGUUAAGCACAAGAUAUUCUAUUUUCAAUCUAAUACAAAAUAUACUGGCAUCAAUAGAAGUCAAAACUACAACCACCGUCCUGAAAUUUAUUAUGCAACUUGAUAUGGACUCAACAGGAAUUUAAAACUUCCAAAAAUCUAAGUAACCCAAAAAAUAGAUACAUGUUUUCUUUUCACAUACAAUUUAACUAGCAUGGUGCAAUCGAAUGUGACUUUAACACAUAUUAGGGGCUACAUCCAGUCAUCCAGUAGUCAGAUUAAAAUUUAUCCAUAGCAUAAUAGAGCCAGAAUGAACAGAAUACCAUAGCAAAUGCCAAAACAAGAACAAUGAAACAAAAGACAACUUCAGAAAAGAAAUGAUAAAAUGUGAGAAAGUGAAACUUUAAACAAGAGAAUGAAUUAGGUGACAGAAUCAUCCAUUCACUAAUACAAAGUGACUCUCAGCCACGUUAAAACAAUAGAUCCAAUUACAACGGUUCUAUUCUCUAAGUAAUGCUGCUAUUCCACUACUCUCUAAAGUUUAACUAUCCACUUCAUGCUAGGGUCGACCGUAUAACUAGUGAUGGAAAUCAUAAAACAAAUUUAAUCUUAAAAUUUUAGUUCUUGAUGAAGAGCAUAACAACUUGCUUCCAACUCCUCCCUUGCCUAUCCCCAUCCCCACUAUGUAUAAUACCUCCUAGUAAACUUGGAUCCCAAUACAGAUUAUCAGCAGUGUCACCCCCAAUAACUUACCACCAAAAAUAUGCAAUGUAUGCUGUCUUCUUUUUACUCUUCUUCACUUCAACUUCUCACCUCGAACAACUCCAAAUUUUCAUAUAUUUAACGGUUUCAUAAUCAACUUCAGCCCUUCCAAAUUUAUAAUGUAGCUAACCAUCAUUCCAAUGAUGUCUGUUCAAGCUGUUGUAUUCAAAUAGUCAUCAAUUGGUGGAAGCUUUCCUAGAACUUGAAAGAGUAUCAAGAAGGUCUAAAAAUUGCAUUACAGUGGAGCUAAUUAUAUAAUUAAGCCUGAUACCCACAUUCGUUGCCUCUGCUAUUGAAAAAUCAUUACAAAACUAAUCAAAAUCAAAUCUUUAUAAAAAAAAUCUACUAAUAUUACAGCACAAAUCAUAAAAUUCAGCAUCAAAAAAAAGAAAAGAAAAGAGAAAUUAAGAAACGCAAACGAAGCCGAACCUGAAGACUGUUCGUUAUCGGGAAACUCUUUCUCGAGAACCCUGUCGAACAUUUUGGCUAUACUGCCGUCUCCGGAAUCCUCCUCCGUCGUAUUAACCAAAUUACCGUAAAACCUCUGGCGGGUCUCCUUAUCAGAUCUCGCGGACAUGCAUAUCCGCGAAUAAACCAAAACCAGGACAAGGACAAGGCAAUACCCGAUCCCAAACACAGCGCCACCUCCGCUACCACCACGUCUCGCCAUCGGUUGCAGAAACCUCUCUCUGUCUAGAGUGCGGGGUUUCUUUGGAUCGAAGACGUGUGCGUGGUUUUUGCUAUUUUAACUGUCAAAGGCAGGGCGGGAUCGCGCGUGAUAUUAAAAUGAAAAAUAUGUUUAUGAUGUGAUGGUGAUUAGUUACGAAUGAAAUUGAUUUAUUAACAUCAUUUCUUUUUUUCCUUUUUUUUAAUUAAAUAAACCUUUUUUUUUUGGUGAAUUAAGAAACGCGUUUAUUUUUGUGCUGGAGUUGUUGUUAAGUGACAUCAUAAUUGUUCAUUAGUUAGGCUGCAAUAAUUGUCAUUCCUUCGUUGGUUAAUUUCAAAAAAAAAUUUCAUUUGAUGGUUGUCCUCCGAGCUCGUGAUAGGAAGAUGCUCCCAGUAUUGUAGGAACGUAACGUCUAAUUUAGUACGACCAACGCGAGGAGAAUUAACGAACUAGUCCCUCUCGUUCCAAAAAUGACAAUUAAGUCUAUAGGUUUACCGAUUGUCUCAAAUUCAUCACUACGUUUGUUUUUUAUAGUCAAUCGAUAAUGAAACAUAACCAAAAGAAGGAGGUCUCUACACAACACAAAGAAGUGGGUUUUUAAAAAGAAAAUACACAAAUUAAUGGAAAAUUGUUGGAAAAUAGAAUCAAUUGCGAUCAAAUAUAUUCAGGGAUGGAGUCGAAAAAUUUGUUCAAAUGGACAUGUUCAACAUAUUAUACAAUUUCAUCUCUUAAUGUAGCUCAAUUGACUAUGAAUAUGUUUUACGUCCGCAGCCAUUUGAGUUCAAAUAACAAUAAAUAGUAAAGAUUGGUAUUUAUUAAGUGAGAUUUCACAUUCUCAAUCCAAAACCCUUCAAAAAAAGUAAAAUACAAUUUCAAAAAAAAAAAUCAAAUAGUCAACAAGAUAUGGCAUUUUAACUAUAAUAUUCAUUGAUUUAUUUCUACAUCGAGAAUUCAAAUAUUGAACUAUUAGUAAGCAUAAUCAAUUUUUGAAAUAGUCAACAAGAUAUGUUCAUGAUAUUUAAAACGCAGAUGAAACACUUUCACAAAUUCAAAUAAAGUAAGGUCUGAUGUCAAAUUAUUGUUGAAAAGUUUUCCGAAACCAGCUGGAACGGUGCCUCAAUUGAUCUUAUACCAGCUCCGCUGUGAGUAUAUGUAUAUGGGUUGAUAAUAUGCAUUAGAUCCCAAGUAAACAAUAAUUCGAAACUACACAAAAUUUGUAAAAAAUAUAUCUCCAAUAAUAUAACAUUUCAUAAAAUUAUGAUAAAAUGAAGUAAUAUAUUAUUUGUGUAAAAACAUCACAAGACACUUCAUGGACGAGAAUUUAUUUUAGAAUAAUAAUAUUUUGGACGGCAUUUCGCAUUUCUCCAAAGUCAAAAAUAGUUAUUAACCCAAUAAUUUAUCACAAUUCAGUGUUUUAAAACUUCCGAACGUAACCUUAAUACUAUUGGGCUUUGUGUCAAGCCCAAAUUUUUCUGUUUUUUCACCCCCUUCCUCCAAAUGUGUUCUAAUAACACGGACGACGUGUCAGAGGCGGCGUCCACCCAAGUGUGGCUAUAAUAAGUUCACACUGCAAGCGAGCCAACAACCAAGCGUGUGCUGGCCACAGGUUGAUUCUAUGCACUCAGCUUUUUCUCUCUGCCCUUAUCAAUCACAUAUUUUUUCAGAGCGUAUCAAUCCGUGCGUUUCAAUGGCGUCGAUUGCGAUGAGUUGUUCGGCGGCUGUGCCUGGAUUCCGUUUCAACAAAUCGCCAAUGGCGGCGGGUGUAGUUACGGCGAGGCCGAGGCGCGUGGUGGUGGUGAGAGCGGAAGGUCAGGGGAUCAAUUUGGAUAUCAGGAAGACGGAGGAGAAGGUUGUUGACUCUGUCGUGGUAACCGAGCUCUCCAAGCCCCUCACCGCGUAUUGCAGGUACUUUAAUUUGGUUCUGUUUCGUAAUUUAAAUACCAGAUUAAUUUAGAGACGCCUUUUUUUUUUUCAAAUUAUUGUUGUUAUUUGUUAUUAUUUACAGGAUGUGUUCGGAAUAGGAAAUUGAUUUAUGAGAUAAUUGUUAGAGAACCACAAAUAGAAAUAGAAAUUACUUGAGAGCGUUUGGACUUGGGGAAUUUGAAUAGAAAAUUACAAAUAGAAAUAGGAAGUACUCUUCUGAAAGAGAAAAAAAAAAAAAAAAAGUUAAACACUAGAGCUCUUUCUGCUCCGAAGUGCUUUCUAUAUAAAAUAUACAUAUAUAGUAGAAAAUUAAAUGUUAUCAACUUACCUACUAGGACUAACUUACGUACCCAGAUUUUUAAUCCUCACUAAUAUUCGAGGGAUGAAAAUACGAGCUUAUGGGGGUGCUUGUGGUAACUUACCUACUAAGAUCAACUUACAUCAAUACUUAUGGAGUUCGACUCAAAUUUUUAACCAUCACUAAUAUUCGAGGGAUGAAAAUAACCCACAUUGCGCUUGUGGGGUUACUUGUGGGGGUUCGCUGCCCUCCAAGUAAUAAUCUUAUUUGUAAAUAUCAGUUCUAAUCUCAUACAAUAUGAGUUGUAGUUUAAGUAAUAGUCUCGUGUAAUUAAAAAAAAAAAUAACUUGUGAUGUCGAGGUUUUGAUCAUUUGGGUUUGUUUGAUUGUUUUGAGUGUAGAUGCUGGAGGUCAGGGACGUUCCCCCUGUGCGAUGGAAGCCACGUAAAGCACAACAAAGCUACUGGGGAUAAUGUUGGGCCUUUGCUGUUGAAAAAGCAGUGAUUAUGUUAUGUAUUUUCAUUUUCCCUUGGUGCCAUUUGUUCCUGAACUUGAGAACUGAAACACUUUUGAGAGUUGAUUGCAUGAAUAAUGAGUUUUCUGUCAUUAGUUGACCAAAACUUUGGUCGCAAUAGAAUGCUAGGAAUAAUAGCCUAGGCGAUGUUAGAUUAAAGAGAGAAACAGUAUUGGGCCUUGGGUAUUGUUGGGCCUUUCAACAAUUAACCAAGAAUGCUGGUGCUUGUUGUAAAUCGCGGUGGAUUUCAUCAAAAUAAUGCUCUCCCAUUGUCUUCUUUAUUGUUCUUCCCAUUAUCUUUUUUUUAUAAUUAAUAAUUGUGAAUAACUCCACCUUCUAAUGCCUAUAUAUACCCUUUCUUUGCUAAUGAAUUAAUACAAUUCAAUUUGUCGUUCAAGGCAUUUUGCUUGUUUUCUUCGAUCUUCAUUUGAGUAUUCUUUACUUAGAUAUCAUCAUUAAAUAAUUGAUUACAUACAAUCCCUUUAAAUUAUAACAUUCAUUAUCUCCAAAUUUAUAACAGUGCUAUUAUUAUUAGAUGCACUAUAAUACAGCAUAUACUAUAUGACGAACUUCAUUUUUAACAAGUUUAACCGCCCACCGACUCAUUACAAUUCCACACGCCCUCGUUUGCUCGAAUGAAAAAAAAAAACUUCUCUCUUUUAUGAAUGAAGGGGACGUUGAAAACUUGUGAGUUUGAUAAAGAACAAAAUUAAGUAAUGAAAAUUACAACCGUGGCUUAUUGGGCGUUUGACAUUAAUGAAAAUCAAAGCUGAUGCUUGGUCGACAUUUGAUUCGUCAACUUUUGAUCGCCCCACCGUGCGGCAAGGGAAAGUGAUUAUGCAAAUCGAUAUCUAUAUAUAUAAGCUAAUGGUAGAGCUUGUGCUUGGCCGCCAAGUGAACUGAAUGAAUAUGACGUUUCGCGUGGUGUUCUUUUUAAAUUUUAAUUUUGGCAUGUGCAGAUGUGAAUCGAUAUCAUAUGAGUUUAUACGAGUGGCAUAUUGUAAUGGACUUAACUGCUAUUUUUACUGCCAAGCGAUCCCAGCUUAGUAGGUCAUCAUUUCUUGUGUGCUUGCUGAUCCCACCCCCACAAUUGUUGAAGUUUUCAUUUAUGUCCGCUCGUCGUGAUAGAAUGUGUACACUGUUGUAAACGUUGAGUAUCGGCAACCAAAAAAUAAAUAAAAACCUUGUCAGCGCACUGGAAAAAUUAGUGGUGCAUUUGUUUCCUAUAAAUCUGAACAUGUAAGAAUCAAACGAGUUAUACUCGAAAUAAGUUAAAAGAGAACCUUGUACAAACAACACUUGUAAAUAUACAUUUGUCCUGAUCAUUCAGAUUCUUUAUCACCCUUGAUUUAUUGUAGCCUGCCCUAUAUUACAACUAUACAUAUACCCUCUUAGAAUCUGACAUUGAAAUUUUGACAAGAAACCAUUUUGAAGCAAGAAAAACUUGAUAAAAACUUGGCUUAUUACCCCGUCAAGCAUCUGAUAAUCUUCUUAAAGCAAAGCCCCACCACCCAUUUAUUCCAAAGAUGCAUUUGUAAUGGGUUGAAUCAAAAUAAAUUGGAAUGAAAAUAAAGAAUAAGAAUUAGAAGAAAUUAUUUUCUUGAACUAUAGGAAUCAAAAUCUUGAGUCUGUAUAGGUGGAAGUCAUUUUCUCCUAUAAGUUUCUCUACAUCAAGCUUAGGCGUUACCAUUCUUAGACCAAGAAUUCAUGGAAUGACUCUGAUACCAAUUAGUUGAACCAAAAACUUAUUUAAAGGCUGUCAAGAGUGAUAAGUCCAUCUAAUCAAGAUGCAUGUUAUUCACAGCAAUAAGUGCCAAUAGAAUUCUUAAAGAGGAGUGUUUAACCACCGGAGAAAAUACCUUAGUGAAAUCAAUUCUCUUAUUUUAAGUAAAACUUUUGGCUACAAGCCUUGCUUUGAAUCUUUGUGUCUCAACACCCAGUAUUCCCUCUUUAAUUCUAUAAAUCCACUUACAGCUUAUUACUUUUUUGUUUGUUGGUUUCUCAAUCAGAUCUCAUGUAUGAUUCUUUAUUAAAGAUUAUGCUUGACUUAGAAUUUCUAGGUAUCCAACCCAAAAAAUUAGUUUAUUGAGUGGAGUGACUUAUUCUCCUUAUAAACCCAAGUAUCUUCUCUUUACUAGCUAAUGUGGGACACAUCUCAACAACUAGAAUGUAAAGAAACUCGUGUGAUUUGUGUUCUGGUGAUUUGUGAUUGAUCUAACUUGAUUAAUGUUUUCCCAAAGGUUUAGGAGUCUCGUUUCGCUGCCAUAACUUUAAACUGAGUGCUUUGUUUUUGCUAUUAAUAAUGUCUGCAUUAUGUUUUACAUACUGAGGUUACUUGCUGUGUUUAUUUAAGUUCUGUUUUACAUCAGUACAUGUUCUUGUGAAUCUCUCUUUCAUCUAGAAAUUUCUACUCACGACAAUUGAUGUUUGGGCAUUAUUAUUCCAUUUAUCUGACCAAACAUGAUGGUCAGAUUCCUUCAUAUUCUUAUUUGAAAUCAGGGUAAUGCAUUGCUCUCAAGUCGAGGAAGGAAGCAAUCUUACGUUCUCAUGUGGUGCGAAAAUUCUUUGAUCCAAGAGCAAAUUCUACUGGAACUGGAAUGAACCAAAAGGUUUCUUGACCCAUAAAUGUGUCGUUUGGAAUAUUAUUUAAUGUACGUUGUUUUUUUUAAAAAAAAAUUGAAAAUGUUUCUUAUAAUUUAACUUAUAGUUGUUAAAACUUUUUGGUACGAAAUAAUUAACAUAACUUUUUUAAAUUUCAACGUAGCUUCAUUGGAAUUCCUAUUGUGUGAGAAUUAAUAUGCAUAAGAGUAAGUCAAUUAAACCUAUUUCUUUUGCCUUUAAGAUUUCUACAAAUUCAUAUAAUUAUGUCUAACACUAAAAUUCGUCAUAGUUUUAUAUACAUUCUAUUAAACUUUGUUUUUAAAAGUCACUGAAGCUAUUGGUGUUUUCUUCCAUCUUAAAAGUCACUCGGCCAAACGCGAGUGGUUAGGCCUGCUACCCUCUAAGCAGUUCGAACCCCUACAAGUAUAAUGUGGGAGUAUUUCCUUCUUUAAUUAUAUUGUAUAAUUGAAUGAAAAUAAUCUUCUCACUUACCCACGAGUAAGUGGACCAGACAUCCCUCGAAUAUUAGUGAGGGUUAAAAUAUGAGCAGAGCUCCAUAAUCAUUAAUAUAAGUUGGUCCUAGUAAUAGUUUGAUUUGUAAAUAUCAGUUAUAAUCUUAUGUAAUAUGAGUUGUAAUUUGAGCAAUAAUCUCAUAUAAUCAAAAAAAAAAAAAGAUAAUAGUUCUAAAGAACGUGUAUUUUUUAAUAUAAAUUUUGUUAAGUAAAUUAUUAAUGUAUUUCAACUGUAUGAAUUUAUAGACUUCUCAAAAUCCCGGGUUGUAUUAGACCAUGAUACAUUUUAAAGAACACGCACAUGAAAAAUCAUGUGCAUAAAGAGAGACUGAUGAUGAAUUAAUUGAAGCAUAAUUAUCAAUUUGUCAAACCUCAACAAUCAACAAAUGAGCUUAUAAAGCCAUCUUUUUUUCUAGGCUGUCAUUUUUGUUUUUACAUCGAAAUCUAAUUGCUUCUGUAUCCACUUACCCAUUAAACUCUAGAAUGUUUGAUACUAGAAAUAAUCCAACUGUACUCCAAAGUCCAAAAAUAAAUGUUGUCAAUUAAUCCCAUACUAAAAAAAUUUAAUAAAAUAAAGUUCUAAUCAAUGCCCUUCGCUGUUUUAGAGCAUGCUUUUUUUUUUAUUUCUUAUUUCCGUCUCGGGCGCUUGUGCUGCUGGGAAAUUAAGCUACCAAGCACAUGUUAAGUGUGACAGAUGCUUCUAGUAGUUGAGAUAUGCACAUCACUACAUGUCAUGUGUUAGUGUUGGAACUCGCAAGCUCUUAUUGUGGACGUUCUCAUUUUUAUCAACAUGAUGAUCAUAUUAUGCUCAUGAUUUGCUUGCUAUUAAAGGAGUAAAAUUUUACCGUACUAUUUUUGAAUUAAUAUGUUUAAGACAGGCGAAAAAAAAAAAAAAACCCAUCUGUAGUUCUGUACGUAUUUUAUGAUUUUAUGUCAAAUUAAUAUUUUAUUCAUUUCAUCCCAAAUGCCAUUGGAUUCUUUAGUGUCGGUGUUACAGCUUUAAUGCAUCAAAUUUAGGAACUUUAAUGUAAAACAAUUAUGAUUGCUAACGUUGGCCCAGUCCACACGUUGGGAGUAACAAAAGGUCAAAUCCAACCUUGGGAGUUCUCAAAUCGCAAUUGCCCUUUCUUUUCUUUUUAUUUGGUUUGUGGGAAAAAGACUGUCAUAGGGUAAGGUUUAGGAAAAUGAAUCAAAAAUAUCUCAACGUUUUAGAAAAAACUAUUUACAAUUCUAUUUUUUUUAGUAGAUUCUAUUUGUUUUAUUAAAAAUGCAUUUUUAUUUUAUAAUUAUUAUUAUAUCCCUCUACCAAAUAAGUCAAUAGGUUAUUAACCUUUGAUGAAAUUGAUGAGAUUGGUGGCUAGUUGACUUUUAUCAUAAACAUCCUCUUCAGAGCCACUUCAUCGAAGCUAUUGUCGGUUCGUCGAACAAGAAACCGGUUCUACCAAAGCACGCAUAAUUAAUUAAUUAAUCUCUAAUAAACACUUAUUAAACACGUAAUUUUUGUUAAAAGAAAAAAAAAGUGACAUAAGAAAUGAUUCACAUAUAGUCAAGUUAGUAUUAAUUUUUUUUAAAAAAAUCCUCUCAUGAUCUAUGUCUUCUGAGUUUUUCAAGAUUUUUUUUUAUGUGUAUUUUAGUGAUAGUGUAUGGAUAAGAUUCAACUCUUUUUAUUUUUUUUAUUUAUUAACUAUCAAUUAAUAAACGAAUUAUUUACUUAGAAUAUAAUCAGAUUAUAAAAGAAUCUUAAUCUAAUUUUUUUAAGAUUAACAUAUUAAAUUAAAUUGGUAUGAGCCAAAAGUUGACAAUAAAGAGUAAACCAAAUUGCCGCCACACUCAAAUAAAUCCUCCGAUCCGUUAUCUGUACAUAAAAUUACUCGUGGGGGCGGUAUGUUUCAGCAAUCGGGUUUUAACCACUUCUGAUGUUUUGCAAAUGUGGGUCCAAUAGAAUCAUACUCCAUAUGAUUCCGCCAAGUUUCCAAUUGUAUUCCAAAAUUUCAAACGUGAUAAUUUUUCCUUUUUGCCCUUUUUUUUCUUAACUCAAGUUUGUCGGCGGCGGGUGCCCAAAGCUUUUGUUUCCUUGGGCCUCAACGGACCCUUACGAACGGACCACGUGAGCCCGAAAGUUUAUCGCUUUACUUUACUCUUAUCAUUACAGCUAUUAGCUAACCGUAUCGGGCGCCACUUCUCCGUCUUCACUACAUUUUAAUAAUGAGCAUGACAUUCUCAAAAAAAAUAAUAAUAAUAAUGAGCAUGACGUCCGCUGGCAUUACACGACACCGUUUCGUACUAGCAGCGACAAAAUUAACAGGUGUCAAUCCCACUGUCAUGGGCCCACGCGUCGCGCUACACGUGGCGGCGCUACGGCACGUGGUCAACUUUUUAAAUUAGACCCUUGUUUAGAAAUUUGAAAAAUAUUCCUGAACUCCGAAUCUAGUAAUUGAAAAAUCGAUUCGCCGAAAACUGUGGCUUAUUGUGAUUGGUUGGUAUUAAUAAAUUAGUACAAGAGCGUCAAGGGGUACCACGACUAGCGGCAAACUAUUAUUCCAUUUUCUUUCUUGAAUAAUCCCGCUUUUAGCAUUAUAUUAAAAAAUUUAAAUAUAUAAUUAGAAAUAUUAUUAAUUAUUAAUGGAUUUAAUCACCCAAUUAUGGAAUUGAGAAUUGGACAAAUUUAGAUCUAAAUUUAUACUUGUAACCCAAAAAUGAAGAGUGUUAAUUCUACUUCCAUAAUUAGCUGAAAUAAUUCUUUCCAUUCUCUAUCACUACAAAUUUAGCCUGGCGAGGGGCGAACGAUAUACAAAAUUAUAAAUAGGAACGCCCCGACCAAUCAGGCAAUUAUGCAGGGGGUCGAACUUUCAGUGGGUACCCACAUCGAAGCAAAAGCACCGUUACAUUUUGAGAGUACAACACUUUGUCGGUCGUCCAAUCCGACGGCUAAAACUCACCCACGUGUCGAUCCUUCACCCCUCCGUUCCUCCUUGCUUCGCCAACAAUAAAGUACACGAUCCUUAAUUUCUCAAAGCUAAGCGAAAAACACUAACCGAGAAAUCACUCGUCUCUUUCCCAGCGCUUCUACUUUCCUUUCACUGGAGAGAAAAAAUAUAUUCCCAUUUGUUUCCGAUAAACCGGCACCGGAAUUAUCAGACGGCUAUUUUCUGAUGCUUCCAUAUUCCAAGCUUCCGUCGCCGGACCCGCCUCCGAAAAAAUCAAAAUUUCCCGAGUUAGAUCAAAAGAGCUCGUUAAAUGGACUGAUUUAUCCAACUCUCUCGCUUCAAAGCCCACGCUCAUGGCUGCUCCUCGUCAUCCUCUUGCUCCAGGUAAUUUUCGUCCUCGUGCUCCGCUCCGUCUCCAUGUCAUUCUCCACUAGCCACGUGGCGCCCCAACAGUCCCACCCCGAAAUAUCGGCCUCCGUCCCUCGCGUAUCGGACCAAUGCGAGUUGGGUAAAAUCUACGUCUACGAUCUCCCUAAAGCUCUCAACGAAGAUUUAUUACAAAAUUGCCACGAGCUGAACCCGUGGGGUUCUCGCUGCGACAUGCUGUUAAACGACGGGUUCGGCAGACAGGCGAGUGCGUUAAACGGCGUCGUACCGGAGAAUUUAGUCCCGGCUUGGCACUGGACUGAUCAGUUCGUUCUGGAAAUCAUUUUUCACAGAAGGAUUUUGAACCACAGGUGUCGGACGUUGGAGCCAGAAUCUGCUGCGGCGUUCUACAUACCGUUUUACGUUGGACUCGCGGUGGGGAAAUACCUGUGGUCUGAUUCGAGCGCCAAGGCGCGCGAUAUGCACUGCGAUAUGAUGUUAAAGUGGGUCCAGGAUCAACCGUAUUGGAACCGAUCGGACGGGUGGGAUCAUUUCACGGCCAUGGGGAGGAUCACGUGGGAUUUUCGGCGGUCGAAGGACGAAGACUGGGGGUCCAGCUGCAUCUACAAGAAAGCUAUGAGGAACAUCACCCGCCUCCUCAUCGAACGAAACCCGUGGGACUACUUCGACGUCGGUGUGCCUUACCCCACUGGAUUCCACCCCCGAUCCGCGUCCGACGUCACCCAGUGGCAGGACUACGUCCGCAGCCGCAAUCGCUCGUCCCUCUACUGCUUCGCUGGGGCCACGCGGAUGGUCAAGAACGACUUCCGGUCGAUGCUGCUGAGUCACUGCAAGAACGAGUCGGGCUCGUGCCGGGUCGUGGACUGCGAGGGGACCCGGUGCAUGAACGGCACGUCGGCGAUCCUCGAAACGUUCUUGGACUCGGUGUUUUGCUUGCAGCCGAGGGGGGACAGCUUCACGCGGAGGUCGAUAUUUGACUGCAUGGUGGCCGGUUCGAUCCCGGUUUUUUUCUGGAAGCGGUCGGCCUAUUUCCAGUACGCUUGGUUUUUGCCCGAUGAGCCCGGGAGUUACUCGGUUUUUAUAGACCGGAACGAGGUGAGGAAUGGGACCAAGUCGAUAAAAGCAGUGCUGGAGAGUUACUCACAAGAGGAAGUGAAGAGAAUGAGAGAUAAAGUAAUUGAUUAUAUACCAAAGUUUAUUUACGCCAAAUCCAGAGAAGGUUUAGGGACAAUCAAAGAUGCAUUCGAUGUUGCAAUUGAUGGGGUGUUACGGAGAAUCAAGGAGCAACAAGAGUUGGGAUUUAAGUGGUAGAUCAUGGACCGUCGGCUUAUGUGUAUUCUGUACAUAUUUUUUCACUACAGAUAAUUAAUUUUACCAAUAUAGAUGUAAUUUUUUUGUUUUUUUUUGCUUUUUGGAUCGAUGAGAGUUCUGCGAUAUACGUUUGCCUGGCAACUGGCUGGGUGGGUGGGUGGCCGGCCUUAUCAGAGUGAAGGACCACUGCUCCAUUAUUCUUUUGGAUGUCGUGUAUAUUAUCAUUUUUGUGGCGCCUUACAUUACUUACAUGGAUGCGCCAUGAACUGGGUUCCCUUUUGUUUCCUUGAAAUUGAUUUUUGGUAUCAAUACAAUGUUCAUUGCCGAAUAAAUUAUUGAUGAAGUUUUAAUUUAUUUCUUUUUGUUUGAUGGCUCGUGGACAUCUUGGAAAUAAGCUUGUAUGCGUUUUCUUUCAUGAUGAUUAAGAGAGCAGAUGGUGAAUAGAUAUAUAUAUAUAUUUCUUUUAUCACGAGGUAUUCUGGGAAGGGCCUCAACUGUGGGAGUUACCUUUAAGUCCGUACCAUAAUUCAGAUUAGAAGUCCCCGCUUGAAUCGAGAGGCACAUAUUCUCCCAACAAAGACGAAUAGAUAGUUAAAUGCAGAAGAAGGAAGCACACCAGAAUUUGGAAGCCGUGGUCUUUUAUUUUUACCAACGUAAACCUGAUUAUAAUACAUUUGACAACGUACAGUUAUAUUAUAUUCAACAACAUUCGACUAACGCAUGUUGUUAAAGUUAUAUUGUCUUAACCUGAUUGUUGUUAUUAUUAUUAUUGUUUUUGCACAAUAUGACAAAUAUUGUAAUAAAUAACAGUAAUUACAAUAACAAAUUAAGGGUAUUUUAGUAACUUAAAAUAAUUUAUUUUAAUUUUAAAAUAAAAUAAAUACAUCAACGUUAAUACGACUCAUUCUGAUUUUGAUAAGUAUUUCCUAAUUCAAUAAAUAAAUACUCCAUAAAAAAAAAAAGAAAAAGGGNNNNNNNNNNNNNNNNNNNNNNNNNNNNNNNNNNNNNNNNNNNNNNNNNNNNNNNNNNNNNNGUUAUCCUCUUUCAUUUUACAUUUCUCAUCAUUCCACCUUGUUGUUUUCCCAUUGGACGAUCAAGUUUGACAUCAUGUUUUAGUUGUUUUAUACUGCAAAUUGCCAGUAAAUAUCAAACACCAACAACCGCAUCAUUGUCCUCGCAACUAGGUUUAAACUGUUAUCUAAACCAUUUUUAAAUCAAAGUUUUGUCUUAGGGGAAGAAAAAAAUAGUGAAAUGGGUUUUCUGGUUUGAUGAUCUCAUUGAUUAAUAUAGAGGAACAUGGCAAAGUGACGAUGGUGGGCCUUAAAAGCAUAAAAAGCCGAAGGAAUCUCCAUAUUUUGCUACUUUCCUCUUGCAGAUGGAGGCAAGAGCAUGCCCAAUUACAAAUAUACAGAGUUAAUUAGGAAAGCAACAAAAACUAAUACUUCCUUGUCAAUGGCACCUUAUUUCUCAAUUUCUUUUAUGUCAGUGUCUGUAGUUUUUAGGAGAGUGACUGGGUGAGGGUGAGAGUGGUGAAGUGCAACAUAUAACAUAUGUAAGUAAGAGUAGGCCUAGCCACUCGGCCAAAGGCCGAGUGGUGAGAGCUGCUGCUCUCUAAGCAGCAGUUCGAACCCCCACAAUGUAUUGUGGGAGUAUUUUUUUUCUCAAUUAAAUUUGAGUGAAGGCAGUCUGCUUCCUUACCUAAGUACGAGGAGUAGACAUCUCUCGAAUAUUUGAGAGGGUUAAAAUUUGAGCAACGCUCCAUUAGCAUUGAUGUAUGUUGGUCUCAUUUAUAGUCUGAUUUAUAAAUAUCAAUUAUAUUCGCAUGUAAUAUGAGUUGUAGUUUGAGCAAUAAUCUCAUAUAAUAAAAUAAAAUAAAAUAAAAAGUAAGAGUAGGCCUUCCUCAUUUGUCAUUUCAAACCAUGUCAAGAGUUGAAUCAUUCCCACCCCUUCACAAACCUCUUAAAAUUCUUUUAAUUAUUUUACGAUUUUAACCUUUAUUAAAUUUACAUAACAAUUGUCUUGCGCUGAAAGCUCUCCACUUCACCAUCUUGAAUUCUGUUAGACAAACCGCAUCGUGUGAUCAAGACGAUGAAUGCGACAAUUGAAGAAUGAGAUGUCGAUAUCGAAUUCGGCAUGACGACAUCCCAUCUCCAUAUUAAGAUGACAGUGUGCAGAUAAUCUUUGAGAGGGGCCACUGGCUGCGUCUUUUAGUGAAAUCCCAAUUGAUUGUUAUUAGUUUUUACUGAUGAGAUGUAAGUCAUGUCUUCACAUUCAUUUUCAAGUGUACUGAUGAGGUUGAACAAUUUAAUUGUGAUAAAUAAAUAAAAAAGGAAUAAUUUUAGAAUAUAUAUGGUGUAUUAAAACUAAUUAAUACAUAUAUAACAUGUGUAAUUGAGUUUAAUACUCUUCAUUAUUUGUAUGAUAAUUUAUAAAAUAAAUACAUAUAUGUCAUGAUAUUAUUUAGUUAUUAUAUGGGUGAUAUGGUAGAUGUAUUUUAAAAUUUCUAUUAAAAAAAAAAGAAAUUUUAAGACGCAUUUAAAAGAGUGCCAAUAGGUCAAGUCAUUAUGUCAUUGACAAACAAUCUAAUCACUAUGGGUGUGUUUUUUUUUUAAUUACAUGAGACUAAUGCUUAAACUACAACUCAUAUUACAUGAGAUUAUAACUGAUAUUUACAAAUCAGAUUAUUGUUGGGACCAACUUACAUCAAUGCUAAUAGAGCUCUGCCCAGAUUUUAACCCUCACAAAUAUUCGAGGGAUAUCUACUCCUCACUCUUGGAUAAAGAAAUAGACUAUCUUCACUCAAUUUUUAAUUGAAGAAGAAAAUACCCAACAAUGCAUUUAUGGGGAUUCGAACUGUUGCCCUGCAGCUUAGAGGGCAGCAACCCUAACCACUCGGGCCAAGGCCGAGUGGCUCAAUGGGCGUGUUUGCAACCCGCAUAACAUCAGACUCAUGUUUGGGCAAUUGGGCUGCAGUAGCUGCAACAUUGUGGUGUAUAUUCAAACCCGAGUGUGACUGUUAAAUUAACUUUCUUUCUAUUUUUAUUUUUCAUGUAUUAUAACAAAUAAAAAUAAAUUUAUGAUUAAUUUUAAAUAAUUUAAUAAUAUAUUUUUUAUUUUAUAUUAAUUAUAUAAAUAUAUAAUUAAAUAUUACAUUGUUUAAUUAUAUUAUAAUAAUUAGUAUAAAGAUUAAAUAUUAUAAAAUAUUUUAGUGUAACUGAUAAUAAAUAGUUAAAUAUUAAUAAAUUUAAAUAAUAUAAAUUUAAAAUUAAUACUAAUAUAAAUAAUGAUAUAAUUACAUAUACUACAAUACAUAUUGUACUAAACAUGAUAUUGCAUUAUAACUUAAUACAUCUAAUGGUGCGUUUACUAAUUAAUAAUUAGUAAUUGGCUAGAAUCGAAAUGGAGGAGUGAAAAUCAAAAUAAAAUUAUUUAUUUUAGCUGUAGAAAUCGGGAUAGGAAUGAGCUGUAUUGUGUUAAUUUUAUCUUGAAAUUAUAAUAAAUUGUUUUAGAUUACUAAAAUGGUUUUAGUUUAUGAUUAACAUUAUUUUUAUCAUUUAUUAUAAUGAUUAUCAUUAUUAUUAUUAUUCAAGAAAAUUUGUUAAUACUAAUAAUAAUAGACUUAAUAGUUACAGUUGUUGUUGUUGUUGUUGUUGUUGUUGUGUCUAUAUUCUCUCUUUUGUCCUUUUUUCCCUCUUUUUCUCCUUCUCUUUUUUCUUUCAUUUUUUUUUAUUUUUUAUUUUUCUUUUCUUUAUUAUUUCUUUUCUUCUUCGUCUAUUCUUAUUUUCUUAAUUUUCAAACUCAUUUUUCUUUUUCUCUUAUUUUUUGUUACUUCUUCUUCUUCUUCUUCUUUUUUGUUUCGUUUUUAUUUUUUCCUCUUCUUUAUCAUUUCUUAUUGUUCUCCCUUUGGUCUUCAAAUCAACAAGUGAAAGACACCGACAAUGCUACAUGAUGAUCGAUGACGCAAUUCCUACUUGCUGCGUGAUGAGAUCUUAGUUUUGGUUAAUGUGAUUUUCAAUUUUUUUUGUAUUUUUUAUUUUUAUUAUCUAAAAAGAGAAUAAAAUUGCAACAAUGUAAUUUGGGAUAUUUUUUAGAGUUUUGGGAAUGAGAGUACUUUAAACUCUCUCUAAUAUUUAAAAGGUGUCUACUCUACUCAUAUUUUGUAAAAGAGGGACUGUUUCCAGUCAAUUAGUUGAUAAUUGAGAGAGUACUGAAACUAACCUCUAUAAUAUUCUUAUGAAAGCUUAAACACUUACACUCGAUAUUGUAAGUGGAAGUUUCUUCUAUUGGACCAAAAGUCCAUUGGUUAAUGUAAUAUACCUUAAUACAACACAAUAGUAUGUCAAACAUAUCCUAUAAGACAAAAAUCUGAUGUAAAAGGCUGAUGUGGCCCAGAUAAGUCUGGACUCUCGGGCAGCACAAAGGGCCCAAAUAGACCCAUAAAACCUUAACCUCAAAUAAAUCAAGUUGAUAGUAACUCUUUACACUCACAUCCCCUGAAGACAGUUUCAUCUUUGUCGUCUCCUUAACGGCAUCUUGGCUUCACUUCUGUAAAUACAACUCGUUUGCCAAUUGAAUGUUGUUUCCCUUACUUCUCACCUGCAGUGAAAGGGUUAUUUCGAUUUCAAUAAAUUGUUUUUGUUGCACAUAAUUCCUUAGUUUAAAAUUUGAAUGUAUGUAAAGAUUGGCUUCUUUCACCAUAAAUAUAUUUUCUGACAACUGCAGAGCUUGUUUAAUUCAGGGCCGGAUUCCCAGUCCCACUGAAAAAAAAAUCUUUUAAUAAUUAAUUUAAUUAUCUUAUAAUUUCUAAUAAAUUUUUCUUAAAUCCCCAAUAAUUUAUAUUCAAGCCCCUAAUACAUAUCUACACUUAAAUUCUCACACUCCAAAAUUUUAAAACAAAUCAAAAGAGAUGGACUUUACAAACUAAAAUCAAGCCCAAAAACAUCAAUAUUAAUUAAAUUUUUAAACAUAAAUAUUAGUAUUAGUGUAGAGAGAGCAUUUUCAGCCAUGAACAUUUUAAAGAAUCGGUUACGAAACCAAAUAAGAGAGCAAUGGAUGAAUGAUAGUUUGGUUGUUAUAUAAAAAAAAAACCUAUUUAAUAAUAUUGAUAAUGAAGUUGUAAUGCAACAUUAUCAAUGUAUGAAAACUCGUAAAGGACAAUUGUAAACAUAUUUUGAAGUAUGAAAAACCUUUCAAAUUUAUAUAUUUAUUAUUUUUUAAAUUUUUUUAUAUUAUUGUUGAAUAAACCCCCAGUCAAUCAAUAUACUGACUCCACCCCUGUUGUUUAUUGUCUUAUAAUUUAGAACAAAGAAAGCAUACAAGAUGACAUGAUUUCGAUGUCAUUGCAGUCUUAAUACCAUCUCUAAAUAAAAAAGAUAAAAUAAAAAAUCUUUCUCAGUCUCUCUACCAUACGCCGGGUUCAUUGAGAAAAAAAUGGUACGGGGAUAUUUGUGGCAUUAAAGUUGGUGUAACUGGUAUGUGAGUGGCCAUUCCUUCUUUUUUUUUUUUUUGGGGGAUAGUAAAGCAUAAAUAGUACGUGAGUGGCUUUGAUUUUUAUUCUUUAAUGCUUGUAAUUAAAAAGUGGGGUUAUAAGAACAGUAGUGGGGUGGUGGUAGCACACUCUAUUAAAUAUCCACUCAGUCCUCAGCGGCGUCAGCACUACUACUUUGCCCAUGCAAUAUUUGCCCGAAUCCUCUCCUCGGCAGGCAAACGCAAAACUCUAAACUAGCCCUUCUGAAACGAGGCGUUUUAGUGUUUUACUUGCGAAAUUUGACUGGACAAAGUAGCAACCUUGAAUGAUCCACAUAUUAUUUGAAGAGGUUCUGAUCUAAUCAUCUAAUGCGCGCUGUCACGCAUUGUGUGCAACGAUGCGUAUGAUGAAUUUUCAUUAACUAAAUUAUGUGUCCUCAGUACAACUCUACCGGUACAAAUUUGUCACAUAUAUCAGUUGUUCACCAUAACGUGCACAUAUAAUCAAAAUUCUUUUAAGUUAUAUAUACUGAUUUCAUUCCGCAUUUGCUCUUAUUGCAUACAAAUUAUCAUAGUUUGGGCUUUUAUGAAGGAUGCUGAUAGGCGUGGCCAAAACUAAAUUGGACCUGAAAAAUUACCGGUUCGAUUUGGUUUUUUAGGGUUUUCGAUCGUUAUUUUUUCUUAGAAAAAAGUGAAUAUUUUGGUUUGUUAUAAAAUCAAAUACUUUAGUUCGGUUUGCAUGUUAAAGUUUCAAAUCUGAAAAUCAAACCAAAAAAUUGAAAAAAUAAUUUUUAAAUAAAAAAAUUUCAUAUCAUUUAGGGGUGGCCCAAACUAAACUGGACUUGAAAAACUUCGAUUUAAUUCGGUUUUCUAAGCUUCAAUUCAUUAUUUUAUAACUAAAAACACUGAAUGAAUUAACGUCAAAAUCAAACCGAAUGAAAAUUUCCAAAUUGAUUUUUUGAAUUCCCAAAUUACAAGCAAAUUUUGCAAAAAAAACAUCUUUGGCAUCGGUGUGAGCGAAUUUAAAUCUCUAAAAGGAAAUAUAGUAUUUUCAUUUUUUUUUUAAUGUAAGGAUAGAUAAUGGAAUCCUUACUAGGGCUCAAUCCACUUCUCGGCACGCGGAGGGAAGUGGUGUGUAACACCUGAUGAAAGAUUUUCUGGUAAGAAAGACAAGAAGACGAUAAGAAAAAAAAAUAUUUUAUUUAAUUUUAUAGUUUGUUUUGUAGUUUAGAGAAAAAUGUGUAUAAAUUUUAACUUCUAUUAGUGCAAAGUAGAUUUUGUUUUGUGUAUUUUUUAAUUUGAUUUUAGGUUUAGGCUUAACAAACAUGUAUUACACAUUUAGUAUUAAAAUGAAAAUGAAAACAUGGGCUAAAAAAUGACCUUAGGGCAUGUUUGGCGCGCGGGUUUCAGGGGGUAUGGAUUGUACAAAAUUUUCAGCACCAUGUUUGGUGCGGAUAAUUAAGGUGAGACUAUGUAUAAAUAAAUCAAGUUUGGAUGGCUCAUAAAGACCCGCCCAUUCCCCGAGUUUACGCGGGUCUUGCCACAUUUACCUUUUUUUUUUAAUUUUUAACUCAAUUCUUUAAUUUAUUUUAAUUAUGUAUUAAAUAUAAAUAUUUAAAUCAUGGCCGACGACUUGACCACCGUCGGGCGCCAACUAUUGUUAUUUUCCGGCAUCUUUUGACAUUAUUAUUAGUAUCAAUACAAUUAUUGUCCUGAGCUCUACACGACCGUAUCAAGAUCUUCGGCAACGGAGCUACCGUUUGAUGUAGAUCUACAAUUAAAGUUUUGAGAUUCAAAAUUUUAAUUGUCGAUCUACGGCGAAUGGGAGCUUCAUUUUCGGUGAUUUUAGUACCAUUGUGUAGAGCUCGAUAAGAGAAUUACAAUGAUAUUAAUCAUUACCUAAACAAACAAUGUUAAAAAAUUUCCAGUGGUUGUCAAUGGUGGCUGCCAGUGAUUAAUUCAUUUUCUAUUAAUAAAAUUAUAGUUUAAUAUAAUAUAAUCAUAUUAAAUAUUAAAAUACACAAUACAUUCCAUACUUACACAAGGUUAAUGUAUUAUUUAAUACCUUUUAAUACAAUAUAAUCCAUUACAAACCAAUACAGACUACUACAAUCCCAUCUACCACAGACCACCUUAGUGUUUUACUUGCCAAAUUUUGUUGGAUAACGCGCAUAGUCAUGCACUAUGUGCGAUGAUACAUAUGAUGAAUAUUUACUAAUAAAAUUAUGUGUCCACGAUUCAACUCUACCAAUAAAAAUAUAUCACAUGCAUUGUCGUUCACCAUAACGUGCGCGCUUAGUUAAAAUUCUUUAGUUAUAUAUACUGAUUUCAUUCCACAUUUACUCUUAUUACAUACAAAUUAUCAUAUAUUACACUUUUGUGAAGGAUGGUAAUGAAUCGAUCAAUGCUAGUCUAUUGAUGAAUAGUAAUCAUGAGAUAAGAGUAUUCAAUUGAUUCUACUAAAGCAAGGGUACUUGCACUUGGAUUAUGAAAUUAGAUCCUUAAGAGUCUUUCCAGUCAUACUAAUGUACCGACAUUCUGAAAAUCUUUUUGCUUUUUGUAAAAAAGAAAACAGAUGCUCAUAUGGCAGUGGCUAGAGCUGAAGCAACAGUGGCGUCGUCCCCCUGAAAAUUAAGAUAAUCCAAAGUAAGUGUCUUCUUCUCAGCCACGUUGGAAACCCCCUCCUGAAGGUUGGUUUAAAAUGAAUGUGGAUGCAGCAAUCAAGUCAAAAAAGAUCAAUAUGGUUGGUUGGAAUCGCCAUCACGAACCACAAUGGAGAGUUCGUAGCUGCUGCUGUAGCAUCUGCGGAAGCUAGAGCAGCAAAUUGGCGACUAGAAAUUGCAGGAGAUGCUGCAUGUAUUCCACUGAUUGGUGAAUCAGAUUGCCAAGAAGUGAUGAACCUAAUCACGGAAAAGAAGAGCAGCAAGAUGGAGAUUGUUUGGACCAUUUCUGAGGCCUUCAAAUUAAGAAUAUAUAAUGCUAUAAAUAUUUCGACAUAAGCCUAGAAGUUGUAGCUCAUGCUUCAGUUCAGUUAGUCUAGCUUCAAAGGUUGUUGAACCCGUUGUUUGGCUGGGGACUUGCUCGCCCUAUCUUUUGUACUCAACCACCAGUCUUCACAUUUUUAUUACUAAAAAAGAAGGAAAAUAAAUAUAGUAUUAUUUAUUUAUUUAUUUUUAAUGCAAGGAUAGAAAAUGGAAUCAUAACUAGGGCUCAAACCACUUCCUUCCACGUGGAGGGACGUGGUGUGUGACACGUGACGGAAUUGCCGCGGCUCAAAUAUUUGGAUUUCGAAAAGAUGGCGCAGAGAUCCCCGCUACCCACCCACCUCAAAUCAAUCGUCUCUUUAUUUCAUAAGCUUUUAUUUAUGUUGAAAAGCGUGAAAUGCAUUUACUCUUUCUCUGUUGAUUUCCUGACUAGAAAUAAACAAAAUAUGUAUUUAAUAAAGGGAGCCCUUAAAGUUAUAUGUAAUGUAAUUUACACCCACAAAUAAUAGGUGAUGUGAGGUUCAUCUAUUAUUUGUGAGUGGUACAUGUAACUUAGUAUUUAUUUUUUAUAAUAAAAUAUUACAUGAAAAAAUCGCUUUAGUUAUUUUAUACAUGAUUCUUUCAUUAAAAAAAAAUUAAUGGUUAUGAAAAUAAUAUAAUGUUAUUAUUUUAUAUAUUCACAAUCAUUGAAUUUUCAUCAAAUCAACUGUGAAAUGGUUAUGUAUCUUACGUAAUUAUGUAAGAUAACAACCUCGAAAAAUCUAUUAUCAUAUGUUCAUGUCCAUUUCUCGAUGACUCAACAUGGGCGUUCGUAGGAGCAACGUAAAAGAUUAGUUGAUAGGGAAUCAAGAGAAAAUUUGGAAGGAUAAGAUUAAGAACAUAGAAGCGGUUGUCAUGGCUGAAAAGGCAGAAAAUUAGAGAUUUUUCAUGUCCUUUUUUGCAAUUAAAGUUAAUUAAAUCUGAUGCGUUUGGGUUUGGAGUUCUCGCCAAAUGGGCUCAACUCGUUGGCGCCUUUUCUUUUCACUUUCGGCAAAGGUUUCGUGAGAGAGCUCCACGUGUGUGGAAAUUGGAAUGCAAACAUUGAAAGCUCUCAAACUUAUAAAGAAGAAGACCGUCGAAGAGUUGAAAACCUUAGAAGACGGAUCUGCCCCUAGACCGACCUCAGAGUUAACUACCAUUUUCCUUUUGUUGUUUUUAUUCAACACAGUAUUUUUUACACCGCACGAUUCACCUACUCGGCAUAUCACAGUCCUUCACUCCCAUUGAGGAGCCUAUAUUUAACAAGCCUCCUGGAGGAGGAAAAAAGAAAAAUCCAUCGAACGAAGUAACCAAAACAGGAACUGAAAAUGAAAAUAAAAUUGGCAGCUCACUUUCUGCUGCUGUUGGCCUUCAGUGCGUUCAUGCUCUCGGAGGCCGAAACGCAGCUGAAACCUCAUGCUAUUGAAUCGUUUACCGUCAAUUAUAUUCAGGUACGAGUGUGGUUCUUUUUAUUAUUAUUAUUAUUAGUAUUUGUGAACUUGGUAUAUUCCGUUGUAUGUAUUAUGUUUGAUAAUUGUUUUAUUUUUAUUUUGAACCAAAAAUAGAAGUUCGGGAACUGCACGUACCUGGUGGUUAUAAAAACUAGCUGCGACUCAAAAAACUUUACUCGUGAUAGGAUCAGCAUCGCUUUUGGUGAUGCUUAUGGCAAUCAGGUUUGCUUCUUUUCUUUUUUUUAGAACAUAUAUAUUUUAUUUUAUUUCAGGUUUAGGCCAGGAAAGUAGUUUUUAUGUUUUUCUAUUUUUUCUUUUGAGAAAUUUUUUUUUAUGUUUUUAACCAGUUCGUUACUGUUAUGAUGCAUAUAUAAUUUUUUGAGAACGAAGUCAAAAUAAUUCAUCCAUGGGUUUCGUAUAAAAAGUUGGCUUUCAAAUUAAAGCACAAGGGCUUUUUAAUAUUAAAAGAACAAAAAUUAAGCACAACCCUAAAACGGGCUCGCAGAGUUUGUGUGUGGGCUGUCGCAGACUCCCAGAUGAUAUGUUACAAAAUUUAUGGGGGUUGUAUUCGAGCGCUGUCUUAUGUAUCGAUCAUAGGUGUUUUUCAAAGCAAUUGCUUCUUGAUGAAGGGCUUGUGCUUUAAUUUGAGUUUAUAGAAGUAAUUGUGCUGCUAAUUAGGUCAGUUACUCUGCUAGUACGCUCAUGCUUCUUGAAUAUUUUCGAGAGCUUUAUCCAGAAAUAUAUUUAAAGCUAACAUCUUAGUGGAGUUUGAUGUUGAUUUUUUUCUUCUAUGGUAAUAAUUAAUAUUGUUGAAACAAUGAUAAUCAGAUUUAUGCACCGAGACUGGACGAUCCGUUCACCAAGACAUUCCAAAGUUGUUCGUCCGAUGGGUUCCAGAUUGACGGACCAUGUGCAACCGAUAUCUGUUAUGUGUAUUUGCACCGAUCAGGACUUGAUGGUUGGGAACCAGAGAGUGUGAAGAUUAUCAGUCCAAAUUCGAGCCCUGUCACAUAUGACUUCAACACCUCCGCUCCCAAUGAGGAUUGGUACGGAGUCAAUUUGUGCCAGAUACAUCCUCCUCCUUCUCCAUUUGAACCUUCGCCUCCUUUUCCAAUUAAACCUCCGCCUUCUCCUCCAUCUUCUUCUCAUCAGCAUCGCGUUCCCGGAUUGUUCGGGCUCGUAAUGAUUCUGGGAUCCAUCCUGAGUGCUCUGUUGUAAGCGCCCUUGAUGGUUUGUUUGGUUUUAUGUAUGUGAUUCUGGGAUAGUCCUAAGUGUUUCUGUUAUGUGCUUGCAACUACUAUCUGCCGUUAUUUUGUCUGCGGCACGAUUGGUGCAAUAAUAUGUCAUGUUGUUAUUAGUUGUAAUAGGAUAUUUAUCCAUGUCUGCCGGAUAUUUUGUAAGCUUUAUAAUAGUUGUGAACCGUGCUUUUGCAGCUAUUAAUUAACUAAUGUUGUUUUGUUAUUAACUACUCUUUGCAUAGCCCCUUCAAGAUGGGGGUUUUAUUUCAUGAUCAAGAUUUUCCCUUGAUUUGAUUAUAUUUUGGGAUAAAAUUAUGUUGCAACUAUGGUAUGCUACUGCAGUUGUUUUCAGUCGUUAGAUGUACAGUUAUAUAGUUAUAUUAGUUGGAUCUAAUGAUUGAAAACAAUUGUAGUAUCAUAUUAUAGUUGUAACAUAGUUGGACCCCAAUUGCAUGAUUGAUAGUUUAUAAAAAAAAAAAAUUGAAUCUUCUUCAUUCACUAUCACUAAAAGACACAUUGAAAGAAGAUUUUAAAAAAUUCAUAAGAAAUCAGAUCAAGAAAUGAUCAUUUUCUUUCGUUUCAUGGCUUUGCCUUAAACGCAAUUGAGAGUGGCCUUGGGCUCUUGGACAUUUUAUUUAAGAAAGGUGCUGGAAUUAAUGGUGUUACUGGAGGCGUCGCUAAAAGCAAUCGGCUAUAAUUUACUUGGUUAUUGUUUCGCAGCAAAGCUCGUGUUUCUUGAUGUGUCGUCUGUGUGGCCGUUGAUUUCAAUUCUCGAUUACGUGUCAUCUCUGUUCAGUUGAGUGAGCUUUUUCUUUUUUGGUCCCCAUUGCCUACAGCCACGAAUUUGAAAAACGUAAGACAUGUCGUCAUGUAGACAAAUUUGAACGGUGACGGUGUAGUAGUGGAGCCGAUUGAGACACGAUAUCGACUGAUUAAACUUACUUUAUAUGGGAAUCUUGUGAAAUUUUUAAUUAUGAUUUUUUAGGGUGACGACAACUUAAUUCAUUUUUCUAUAGAUGCAUGAGUUGGUUUUGAAUCUUAGUGCUUUUGAUUUUUACAUAAAAUUAUAUUAUCUCAACUAAAUAGUCUAUACAGAUUACAAAUGUUAUAAGAAUAUACUUUUAAGUGUUGUGAGAUGUUUUCAUUACUAAUUUACUAGUACUAACUUUUUUUUUUCUAAAAGAUAAAUUAAUUAGCGUCCAAAAUAUUAUUGUAAGAAUAUUAUUAUAAAAAUUAAGGAAAAGUAAUUUUUUAAAAGAUAAAUUAAUUAAUGUUAAGAAUAUUAUUAUAAAGAUAUUAAUAUGAAAAAAAUAACAUAAUUAAUUGUAAAGACAUUUUAAAGUGUUGUUAAAAAUAUAAGUGCUUUGGGGUAUAAAAAAUAGUUACUUGAGUUCGAGGAGAAAGUUAUUUGGUCACAUGUGCAAGCGCGACCAACGUUCUGUUAGGAGAAUAGAAUCAGGUCGCAUGGCUUUGGUUAAUAUCUCAUAUUGUUGAGCUUCAUUUGGAAGCUCAUCCGUAACGUAUAUGCACGCUCUGCUUUAAUGUUUAAAGCACAAUCAGGCAUUAUAAUGGUUGCUCAACAACUAGAUAAAUUGAUAUAUUAACUCUUAGAUUCAAGUGGCAUACUCAAUUUGGUAAUGACCACGCAGUAAAGAACGAACAAUAACGCGCGACAUGCAUAGUUCUCUAUAAGAACUGGGGGAGAUCCAGAAAAUGGAUUUUUUUUGGGGUUUUGAUUAAAAAAAUAGAAUUCUAGAAAAAAUACAAAAUACUUAAAAUCACAAGUGUGACAUUAUUAUUUUCCUUACAAAGAAAAACCUGAUUGCUGACUUGAGCGUUGGAAGGUUUUUACUAGAAAAAAUACGGCGUCCCUGACAGUUUUCUGUUGUUGCAGAUCAAAGGAAAUGUCAGUACAAUUCAAAUUCCACUACAGUAUCAAGCGACAAAUGCCCCAUCAAAAUAAAUUAAAGUGUUGGCGAGACAAUUUGGUCGCCGACCGAAUUACGGCAUCAACAAUAAAAAUUAAAUAAGAACUUAAGUUAAAAUAUAGAAAUUAAAUAAAGAUUUAUCCUAAGUUUAGAUAUCAAAUUUACUACGGAUCUUUGAUGGAGAAAGUUACCAAAAGAAACAAAAAGUCCAAAUUUUUGUCUUCAAAAGAUAGUGCACCUAGAUUGACCCUUAUAUACUAGAAGAAAGAGAUGGGAUUGAUUAUCCUUCACACAAGCUUCAAGAUAAUUCUUUUUAACCAAAAAAAAAAAAUUGUAAAAGGGAUUAAGAUGCGUAAAAUACAUUUUUUUCCCCCAAAAUUGCGUAAAAUACUUGAUGAAAACAUGCAAGGCAGUGGAGUCAAACUCAAUCGAGACACUGAGUCAGAUAAUUUGAUAGUAUGGUUCACCAUUGUCGACGUCUGCAUGUUUUGUCAAAGAAUGACUCCCAACCGUUUUCCAACAGAAAAACGGGUGUAGUUGGCACUAUUGGUUAUUAAUUAUUUAUUAUUUUACAUUUUCUAAUUGAUUAUUUUAUCAGCUUCCACGUGUGGGUAAGUAUAGUAGAAUAUCAUUGAGGCUCUUUGAAAAAAAAAAAGAAAGUAUAUGCACCUAAUUUCGCUUGAGUAUCUAAUUUAACCAACCAAUUGUGGACCAUGAUAGCCUAGUCUUCUUGAUGUUACAGCCAUUAAAUUGCCAAUCGGUGCAAGCGGUUUUUUUUUUUUAAUAGUAAAUGAUUUCAUUUCCAGUAAAACACAAUAAUUAUAAUAAAAUUUCGAUCUUUAUUGGGACCUCUUCGAUCCACACUCGAGGUGUUGAAAUGAAAAAAGUUAUUUUUUUUCUAAAGCAUGGGCCACUAAGUUAUAAGACCUAAAAGUAUAAGCUAUCUGAUAUUGAUUAUUUUGUUCUAUCAUAACUCUAAUAUCAUAAAGUAUCCAAUCUAACUCUUCUCUACUAGAAGUACCAUUGAGAAUAAAGUUGACAACAUUCUUGGAAUCAUACCCUAUAAGAAGAGGAGAAAGAGCAACAUCCACUGCCAACUUUAUUCCUUCUAAAAUCACUGAAGCUUCCGUAAUUUCUACAUCUCCUAAGCAAGGUUUCUUUGAUGUUGCAGCAGCCAUUACGGCUCCUUGAUAAUCUCUGAGAAUCGGUGCAAGCGGUUUUGGCUCAAAAUGCUUGCUGGUCUUCUAGAAUCUCAUACUUAAUUGACUAGAGAAGUGGAUAGACCUUCACUACCAAAGGGUCACACUACCUCCUCCUUCGAAGUUCAUUUCUCUAGGAUAAUUAUACUUGAUUUUUUUUUCUAGGGAAAGAUUCAUUGGGAUAAAAACCCAAGCAGAAGAAAUAGAAUUUAAUAACUCAUAAUGUAGUGCCUAACGUGCUUCGAUUGUGAUGUGAUUAUGUAAAGCACAGAGUUAUAAUCAUGGACCAACUUGAAAUAUUACACUAGAAACUACUUCCACUUGGGUGAGAUAUUAUGCUCUUUAAGCAAUAAUUUCGUAUCAGUUCAAACAAUAACCUUGAUUGUGUUACUGAGUCUCAUGGCUUUUAGAUAAGUUAUUGAGGUAUAUGGCUUGUAGAUAAAUCACCGAUGAAGAAUAAUUUUCACCGAAAAAUACUAUAGGCUUCAAAUUCAGACUUUGAUGGAUUUGCUAUCUUCAAUUGAUCUUUAGGGGUUUUGGAAUCUUCAAAUGCAUGGCUUUAUAUGUGUGUAAGAAUAUUCAAAUUCUGUCUUCAUUCUGUCGGGUUUUCCUUGCAAUAUUAGUAACAAAUAAAUUUAAAUAAAAAAAACACACAAUAACUAGCCUCAUUUUGUUUAAUGUAGAAGAUCCAAAUUAAUAUGACAAUGAUAGAGAAUACGUAUAAUUAAAUAAACUAGUAAAAUAAAGAGUAGGGUAUAAGAUACUUUCUAUACCCGAGCAAUAAUCAUAUUGAUAACAUGUUAUAAUGUUGAUGAAUUUGGGUAGGAAGCAUUUAACAAUUUUAAUAGAUAAUAUAGAUGAUAUAGAGAUAAGGGGGCUGUGUCAUAUAAAUACAAAGCAUUUUUCUCCCACGCUUAAUUACGGUUGCGUUUAGAAUUGAGGUUAUUCAGUAGUAACUUAAAAGUGACAACACUAAAGUGUUUGGUAAACAUUAGCUGCUAUAGUUUGUAAGCUAUAUUGAUAUGAUUUUUCACUUGUAUAAUGAAAAGUUUAUUAUAUAUUUAAUAAUUUUGUCAAAAUAAUUAUUUAAAAUUUAUAUUUACUAUAUAUUAUUAACUUUUGUUUAAUAGUUAUAAAAUCUUUUUCACAGCAACUAUAACUUAAAAACUACAACACCUCAAUCCCAAACGGAUCGGUUGUCCAAUUUCAAUUCCUGUCUCACUAGAAUAAUAAGCUUAAUUAAGUGUUCAGCUCCUUAGCUUUAUAUCAUAUAGCCCCCUUAUCUCUGUAUCAUAUAUAUUAUGCAUUAAAAUUAUUAAUAUAUUCCCUACCCAGAUUUCUCUCAGAUUUGAUCGUGCGAUCUUCAAAGUCAAAAACUUUUAAAAAAAGAAAAUAGUCCGCGUACCUAAACUCAAUUUUUCUAUGGGUGAAUCUGACCCGUAGGAAAAAUAGUACAAACAUCUAUUAUGAUAACGAUACAUUUGAGGACGAUGGCCAAAUAUUUUAUUUUGGUGAAGAUAAGGUUAUAUAUAUUUUAGUGGGACUAUUGUCAUGAAUUUUUAAUCUAUUUAAGAUCUUGCAAAUUAAAAUAUCAAAUAAAAAACAAACAAACAAUAAAAUCAAUCAUAUAAUAUAAGAAUUUGCAUGAAAAAAUCAUAUAUUAAAAAAAACUAUAACUACAAAGAACAAUAAGAGAAAAAUCUAUUAUGUGAAAAAUUAUUAUAAUCAGUUUAAUAUUUUUUUCACAUACAAAAUACUAAUAAUAUCCUAUCUUUCAAUAGAUCUACCAUUUUUCUUAUACUAAAAACUGUUUAUUUACAGAGAAAUUGAGUGAUUUACAAGUGAACCCAACUUCUACAUUUAUAGUGAUUAUUUAUUGUACAAGUAAUAUUCAUUUUCUUAGAAGAAUUAUAUUCAGUCAUUGAAUAAGUUAAGUACUAAAACGAAAAGACUCAUUAAAUAAUAUUUUACUUCUCAUUUGAAGUAGCCACAUUAUUAAUAAAUGUUCAAAAAAUUAUACAAAAGAGAUUUUUCAAGUUAGAGCAUCACCAAAAGACUCUUCAAAUAAGAUUUUAUUAAUUAUUUGAAGAGCCACCUCAAUAUUUAAGGCUCCAAAAGACAUUCCAAUUAAGAUUCUUCAAAUAAGAAAUGAUUCUCUCUCUUCAAAUUUGGAGAGUUGAUUUCUCCCUCUUCAAUUUAUAUUUUAUUACUUUUCAUUGAAGAAAGAGAGAGAAGUGCUUUAAUUACUAUUGACUUUUCCUUUAAAAAAAUAAUUAUUUGAUUAAAAUAAUAUUAACUUAUUUCUAUUUGAAGAGUCUUUUGGAGAAUAUCAUAUUUUUUCACCAUUCUAUUUGCCACAUAGGUAAGCAAAUAAGUAUUUGAAGAGUAAAAUUUAUAGAGGCUUUUGGAGAUGCUCUUAGAUUGUCAUUCUCUCUUCUCAAUAUUAAAGAGUGACUUUUAUUUUCAAUUAAUAUUAUAUUAUUUUUUAUCUCAUUAUUAUUAAAAAAAUAAGUACUAUAAUUACUAUUAUUAUUAUUUUGGUUGAGAAAAUAAUUUAAUUAAAAUAAUAUUAAUUUAUUUUUAUUUAAAGAGUUUUUUAAAGGAUGUCAUAUUUUGUUAGGUAAAUAAAUAAGUAUUUAAAAAAUAAAAUUGGAAUAGUUUUGGCUAACGCUCAGUUGCUUAUAGAACAUGGCCGGCCGGCCACUACUCACACAGUGAAAAUAGUUAAAAGACAGAUUUGCCCUUAAGAGCGAUGGAACGUCGGGGAUUUGUAAAUUUCCCAAAAAACACAGGCUUGCUAACUUUUUAUUCACCCCACACGAUUCAACUACCCGCAGGCUGCGGCAACAUUAGCAUAUUUAAACAAGGUUUCUGGGGAAUUGAAUAAAAAAUUAACAGGAAAAAAGAAAAAAAAAUCGAAAAUCGAAAAUCGAAAAUGAAAAUCGCAGCUCCCAUUCUGCUUCUGUUGGCCUUUGCGUUCACGCUAUCUGAAGCCGAAACGACGAGCUUGCAGCUGAAGCCUCGAGCUUUCGAGUCCUUUAACGUUAGUUAUAUUCAGGUACCGUAGUUAUUAUUUUAUCUCUCUCUCUUUUUUUAAUAAAUUUAUUAUUUUUUGAGUAGUUGUUGAUAAUCGUUUAAUUUUUUAACCAAAAAAUAGAACCUAGGGAGCUGUUCUUACACGGUGGUCAUAACUACCAGCUGUUCCUCAAGCAAGUACACUCGCGAUCAGAUCAGUAUUGCUUUUGGAGAUGCUUACGGCAAUCAGGUUUUCAAUUUUAUUUUUUUAAAUUUAAAAGUAUCUUUUAAUUUCUUCAGUUUUUAAAUCAGUGUUUUUGUCCUUUUUUUUUUUAAUGGUGAUUCUGGAUUUCAUUUUUAGGAAGGAAAUUGAUAAUUAGAUUUUUGUUUGCUUAAAUGGAAAGUGAUGACCAGUGAUGUAGAAAUUUUUAUGUAUUUAACUGUAGGCUUUUUAAUUUCAUUUUAUUUUUGAGAGCAGAGCAGAGAAAGUAUAUUAGGGUAAAGUUCAGUUGGCUGGAGUUAAUAAAUGCAUGGAUGUAAGAUCAGUUUGGGUUUGAAUUGCAGUGGUUUUAGUCAACAAUUGCUGUGAAAUUGAAUCACUUGUCGUUAAGUUAUAAAGUUGGCGAUUAGCAGUUGAGUAAACUUCAGUUGUGCCUUUUAAAUUAAGUUCAAGCACAACAACCAGAAAUGGGCUCGUAGUCUUAGUCUUUGCAUUGGGUUCUUUUCAUUUGAGAUCCUGUUCCUGGGCGAAAUGCUUUUGUGCUCUUGAAGGAGAUAUUUGUUUAUUUCAGCUUAACACUAUAAUACAAGUAGACCACAAUGCCUAAUUGAAAAUGUUUUGUUCGGACCCAGAAUAGUCUCAAACUUGUAAACCAUCGUUGCGGUGGGGGGCACCUCCUUAGCUCCUUGCCUUCUUCUCAUGAUUGAUGGUUUGAGUGUCCCAGUUUGUUGUGCUAGUGUUUUCUUUGAAUUUCCUGAGUUCACUUUGAAGUAUGCUUGGCCAGAGCACAUAUCAAACUUCUUAUGAAAGUUGAACUAAUUUAAGGGAUUUUGAGUGGAAUUCUCGUAACCUAUUAGUAGAUGUGUUGUUGCUCCAUAUUAAAUACAACAGAAAGCAAUUCUUUAUGUAAUGCAUUCAUUUUGUUUCUAAAGGUCAGGUUUAUCUAGAAAUAUAAAACUACACUAUUCUUAUAGUCAAAUGUGGAUUACUAAUAUAUUUGAAACAUUUGUAAUCAGAUUUAUGCACCAAGACUUGAUGAUCCGUCUACCGAUGCAUUUGAAAGUUGCUCCUCUGAUACAUUUGAGAUAAGAGGACCAUGUGCGUAUCAAAUCUGUUAUGUGUAUUUGUAUCGAACUGGACCGGAUGGUUGGAAACCAGAGAGUGUGAAGAUUUAUGGUGCUAAUUCGAGAGCUGUCUCAUUUUACUACAACACCUUUAUUCCCAGUGAUAUCUGGUAUGGAUUCAAUCUGUGCCGAAGUGCUUCUUCUGCACAUCAACAACAUGUACCCAGAUGGUCUGUGUAUGUGAUUCUGGGACUCCUCUUAUGUGCUCUGUUGUAAGCUCCCAGAUGUUUAGCGUUUGUGAUUAUAGGACUUGUCCAAAGUGCUCCACUGUGAUCUCUCAAUCAUCAUUUGCUGUUGUUUGUGUAUCAUACAAUUACAUAUAAUCUGCAUUUUGUUAGUUAUAGUCAGAUGUAAUCCAGGUCUAUUAUGAAUUAUCACUUGGAUUAUUUUGUGAGAGAACAGAGCACUCAUUAAAUACUACUCUAGAAGGUGUUACCAGAUGCUUUUGUGAGAACCGUUUCUCAGAGCACUCUAUAAAAAUUUGGGAUCAUUGAACAGUAUAUUUUACUGACUUGACUGUUGCUCUGCAGUAAAUUAAAAGCUCGUAAAUCGCUGACCCUUCUUAUUCCUUAAAGUCUCGUGUGAUAGUUGAUUUUAAUUCUUGAUGUAUCAUCUCUAAUCAGUUGGGCGAGCUUGCAAAUUUGGGAAGGUUCUCCUUUGUUGCCCAUUGGCGAUCCGGGUUCCGGGUUUAUCAAGUGAUGCCCAAGACCGACCUGGCUUCAUACCCUGGCCGGGUAAUAUCCGGCCCGCAAUGCCCGGGUACGGUCCGGGUCCGGACCGGGCGGGUAUUUUUGCCACCUCUAGGCGCAAGCCACUGGACACUUGACUUUGCUGUGAAUGUUGACAAAUCGAGCGGGCAGGGAAUUAGUCAAUUGAGACAAGAAAUAAAACUAAACUUAUUUGGUUCGGAGAAUAUGUUCACUAUCAUGAGAGCAUCUCUAAAAGAUUUUUUAAAUAAAAUUUUAUUAAAUACUUCAAAAGACGCGUUAAUUUACAUUUUUCAGAUACGAUUUGUUUAUCACUUUUCAAUAUUACUUAGUGAUUUUCUCCCUCUUUUAUUAAUAUUUUAUUAUUAUUUAUUGAAAAGAUAAGAGUGCAAUAAUUAUUAUUUAUGUUUCCUUUUAAAAAUAUAAUAGCAAUUCAAUUUAAUAGUGGAAAGAUUUGAUUAAAAUAAUGUUAAUUUAUUCUUAUUUGAUGAGUCUUUUGGAGGAAAUUGUAUUUUUCCACCCACUUAUUUGCCACAUCAGUAAGCAAAUUGAUAUUUGAAGAGUAAAAUCUAAAAAGUCUUUUGGAGAUGCUCUGAACACCAUUAAUUUGGGGGUUUUUAAUUAAAUACCCUUUAAUAGUUGUAAAAUUAUUUAAAUAUCCCUUUUUUUUCACAAAAACCCUAACAAAUAUGUAUGAAAUCUAAAAUGUGAAUGCAUGAAAUCUACUCCUUUUCACUGUCUUCUUAGUUCUUAAAUUCAAAUCUCUUCUUACUGAAAUUCUCUCAAAAUCUCUUAUAACCUCUUACACAAAUACAACUAUGUAUUCACUUCUUUUUUUUUGAAUAAUUUUCAUUGACAUUUUCUACAUAGCAACAAAUAUAAAUUCUUAUAACAAAUUAAGUCUUUAAAGAACUAAAUUAUUCUAAUGAAUAAUGAACAAAGUCGUGUAAUACAUGGAGGUUGUGUAAUCGCGUAAUAUAUGAAGUCGUGUAAUACAUGAAGGUCUUGCAAUACAUGAAGUUGUGUAAUAUAUGAAGGCGUGAAAGUCCUGUAAUACAUGAUUCAAGAUCACGUAAUAAUACAAAAAGUCAUGCCAUAUACGACUGAGGAUUGUGUAUUACAUGAGUGUAUUACACGACAUUAAAUCAUGUGUUACAUGAUCUUACACAAUCAAAUCAUAUGUUACAUGACCUUACACAACCGAAUUAUCAUCGGUACAAUCCAUCAAUUUUUCACCAUUUACAUGGAACAAAAAACUAGAAAUUUGUAUGUUAUGAGAGACUUACAACUAAUUUAAUUUAUUUUUACAAUAUAAGAUCCUAAAUUUUUUAUUUUUCUUUAAAUAUAAAAAAAAUUUAAUUACAAGGAAUUACUUUCCUAAAGUAGUUAGGUUCCAACAAUUUUGCAGCAAAAAAUCAAUUUUCGUCGCCAAUUGUGCAGUAACAAACCAAGCUUCUCUUUCUCAGUUGCAGCAGCUUCCCCUUUUGAUGUCUAGUUCAACAUGUAUGAGUGUUUGUUUGAGUCAUGUUAUGUUUGAUUUGUGUAAGUGUUUUAAGAUGAUGAUAGUUUAGUAAUUUCAUGUGAGUUUUUAGAGGAUAUUCAUGAAAAUUUUGGUAAAUUCUAUUUUUAGGGUAUAGAAAUAAUUUUGAAAGUAUGAAGGUGUAUCUGCUGCAAUUACCUCCAUAAUUUUCUCUAUGUUAUCGUUACUUUUGUAUGUUUUGACGAUUUUUCUUUUUCUGUAAAUAUGAAAGUUACUUGAUUGUUGGUUUACUUAAUGGCUGUUAAAGACCAAUUCCAAAUCUUAUGUGGUAUUAUUGACAAUAGUUAAAAGUUGGGGCAUCGGAAUAAUUGUUUCACCACGAAUAACAAGUGCUUUUAUGCUGUGACAUCAGCUCCGAGUACAACCGCUUUUGGAAGCAAAAAGUGUUAAAAUCUAACGGUAGAUAUCAAAACAAAAUAGGGUUUCAUAUCUGACGGUUGAGAAUCUCUCCUCUGUUAAACCAUAAAAGCAGAAACCCUAAACUCUUUGCCUCCUCUUUCUCUCCUGCUCCCGCAACUCAUUGCCACAUCAAAUUUGUAGCAGGAGACGCCCUCUGCUGUUUCUUUGUAUCUCAUUUUAAUUUUUGUAACUUAACAUAACCAUUCAUGCCUUCGAUCGCUUUGUUUGACGGAAAAGAAGUGAAAGACGAGAAGAAGAUGAAUAAGAAAAUGGCUCUCAAGGACUUCGAAGAAACGGAGGCGGCGUUAACUGAGAAGAGUUCGGAUAAGAAGAAGAGCAAGAAGAAGGAGAGUAGUAAGAAGCGGAAGGAAUCGGAGAUUGAGGAGGAGGAAGAGAGAAGCGAAACGAGCUCGGAGUUAGGCGAGCCGGUGAAUUUGAAAUCGGAGAAGGAGAAAAAGAAGAAGAAGAAAGCGAAAGUUGAGCCUGAGGCUGGAGUGGAAGAGCAGGAGAGGGGUGAAAGCGAACAUCCGAAUGCGGUUUCGAGGUUUAGAAUAUCGGUGCCAUUAAGGGAAAAGCUCAAGUCCAAGGGGAUUGAGUCUUUGUUUCCUAUUCAAGCUAUGACUUUUGAUAUGGUUCUUGAUGGCUCUGAUUUAGUCGGACGUGCACGGACCGGUCAGGUAUAAUAACUAAAUUUUGUGUAAUUUGUUAAUUUUGAUUAGCUAGUGUAAGCAAGUAAUUGUUUAGUUGUGUUAUUAAUGGUAAAAUUAGAAGAAUUAUUGAGUUUUUAGGUAAAAAUUAAAUCAUAUUUCAAUUUUUUCUGUAGUAGCAAAUAUCUGUUCGAUCAAAUACUUUUUACCUGAAUAUGAUUGUAUAUUUAGCCGUGUUUUGAACCGUGCAGGGUAAAACUUUAGCCUUUGUGUUGCCAAUUUUAGAGUCUCUAACGAAUGGGCCAACAAAAGCGUCCAAGAAGACUGGAUAUGGCAGGGCUCCAAGUGUUUUGGUGCUUUUGCCUACUAGGGAAUUGGCCAAACAGGUAUGAAAUAGGAGUUAUAAAAAAGUUUAUUCAUUUUUUUUUUGGUUGGUUUGUCUGGUGACAUUUUGUUUUUGGGUUUGUUUUAGGUUCAUGAGGACUUUGAUGUCUAUGGCGGGGCAGUGGGACUGACCUCAUGUUGCUUAUAUGGAGGAGCUCCUUAUCAUGCUCAGGAGUUUAAAUUAAAGAAAGGGAUUGAUGUAGUCAUUGGAACCCCUGGACGUAUUAAGGUUAGCCAUUUACAAAAAAUUUCAGUGCUAGAAAAUAGAAUUUUGACAUGACCUGUUGUAUUAGUUAUGGAUUUCCUGAAUAAGUAUGUGAAAGUUGGGGUAUUUUGAUUGAUCAUGUGGUUGUCAACUGAAAUUUACAUAUGGUACAGGAUCACAUUGAGAGGGGCAAUAUUGACUUGAGUUCAUUGAAGUUUCGGGUCCUUGAUGAGGCUGAUGAGAUGCUUAGGAUGGGUUUCGUUGAAGAUGUUGAACUUAUUCUGGGUUUGUAUUCUUGAUAUAGAGUACGCGGAGUUCCCAUAUACUGGUUUUCAUAAGGCAAUUUUCAUGGUCUUUAAUUGAAAUAUGCAGGUAAAGUCGAGGAUGCUAAUAAAGUUCAAACACUUCUCUUCAGUGCCACCUUGCCAAGCUGGGUGAAGCAUGUGUGUUUCCCAAUUUUGAUUCUGGAUUAUUCCUUUCCUGAUUAUAUGUUAGAUCUUCUCAAAUUCUAAAAGUAGUUCUGUAAUUUACAUGUCAUGACUACCUCCUUUCUCUGUAUAACUGAACCCUUCGUCUUCCAUUUUCAGAUUUCCACCAAGUUUCUUAAAUCAGACAAGAAAACCAUAGAUCUUGUUGGCAAUGAGAAAAUGAAGGCUAGUACCAAUGUCCGGCAUAUUGUUCUUCCUUGUUCUAGUUCAGCGAGAUCUCAAGUCAUUCCUGAUAUCAUUCGUUGUUAUAGCAGGUCAGUUGUUUCUAGUUCUCAGUUACUGUUUAAUAAUAAGCAUGAUUGAUUGUUGCUCUUCACAGUUUAUUAUUUCAUUUUGCCUUAGCAAUUGUGUGAUUCUUCUGAUUCAGUGGAGGCCGAACUAUUAUUUUCACCGAGACAAAGGAAAGUGCUUCUCAGCUUGCUGACUUGCUGCCUGGUGCACGGGCUUUACAUGGGGACAUACAGCAGUCUCAACGUGAGGUAAGUUGUUCAGCAGGAUUCUUCUUUUUUUGACAUGUUAUGAUGAAAGCAAAGGGUCAAUCAGUUUUUGAGCUUAUAUACCGUCUCUGCUCUGGCAACAUAUAUUUUCAGCACAUUCAAAGAAAACAAUGCUUGAUGAGCCAUCCAAUGCUCAGUCUUUCAAAAUUUUGCAGUAAUCUCUCAUUUGAAAAACUGUAGUUUUUGACAAGUUGCUUUAAUCAUGACUCAUGAAUGGAAGCAUGGUGGCUGCUGAAUUGUUUAUUUUAGCUAGUUUGCUAUCAAGUUGAAAUGAUUGAAAGAAACUAUCAUUUUCUGUUUAUGAGAAUCUUGUACACUAAAAAUAUUUGCUAAAGAACAAAAUCACUUGAUGUUUUUGUUUUGAUUUUUAAUAAUCAAUCGUGACAACUUUAUUGAAUUUGUGAUCUUGCAGGUGACACUUGCUGGGUUCAGGUCAGGAAAGUUCAUGACAUUAGUUGCCACAAAUGUGGCGGCACGGGGUUUGGACAUUAAUGAUGUGCAGUUAAUUAUUCAGGUUUGUUUGCAUGUAUUUUUGGGAGGCUUUAUGUAAUGUCUUUUUCUGGUAUAUACUUAAACAGACCUUUGUUUUUAGUGUGAGCCUCCUCGUGAUGUAGAAGCCUAUAUACAUCGAUCUGGACGUACUGGAAGAGCAGGUAUGAAAAUGUGCAUUUAUUUCCUGUUUUAAAUGCACACUGUUUCACGGAAUGCUGAGGUGCUUUUUUUUUUCAAUUUCCCACCCCCAACCCCCAGGCAAUACUGGAGUUGCUGUAAUGCUUUAUGAUCCUAGAAAGUCAAGUGUAUCUAAGAUAGAAAGAGAAUCUGGUGUGAAAUUUGAGCACAUAUCUGCUCCACAGCCAGCUGAUAUUGCCAAGGCUGCAGGUGUGGAAGCUGCUGAAACAAUAACCCAAGUUUCUGAUAGGUAUACUUGCUAUGUC
rnacentral:lncRNA from 1 species